UCGAUGCCAGUUCCUUCGUGACAUCUCCGACUUGUGUUCGCGUCGGAUUUGACUAAUGAGAAAUAUCAGGGAGUUUGGGAAAAGAAAAAGGUGACGUUCCGAGGCGUCGCUCAUCAGGCGCUCGAUCGAAGACUUCAAUUGGAGACUGUCAUGGUUCUUGCAAAUAUUGAGUUGAGUUGAUUAUGGUGAGCAAAUUAUCUAUGUGUCGGGUACCGUAAUUAGGGGUAUCCCCAAUGCUCCUUAAACACGGCUGGUAAACACCCUCAGAACAAACCACAAAAUUUGAUGGGCGCGGUUUAAGUCAAGGCUUCGUCUACCCAAGGGACACGAUCUUGCCCGAGCCCAGCCUCGGGCGAGAACCCUAGUCCCAGACGAGUUCAUGCCUCGCCCGAGGGCGUCCUCAGGCAGUGGGCGCACCCUCGGCUCGCCCGAAGCCUAGCUCGGGUAAGCUUCGUUGUGAAGCAACCUUGGCCAAAUCGCCUCACCAACCGACCGUAUCGCAUGCAAAUUUAAUGCGGGGAUCGCCUGACACCUUAUCCUGACACGCGCGCCUCAGUCGGUAAGGUCGAAGUGACCGCAGUCACUUCGCCCUUUCACUGAUCGAUCUGACAGGAGGCUCACCCGCUCCGAUUACUGUGCCAACCACCCGGGUAAGGCUGACAACAGCCGAGUUCAGCCUCGGGCGCAACAGGAAGCUCUGCCUCGCCCGACCUUAGGCCUCGGCCUCGGGAGGAGGUCUCUGCCUCGCCCGACCCCAGGACUCGGGCUCAGCCUCGGCCUCGGGAGGAAUCGCGUCCUCGCCCGACCCCGGCCUCGGCCUCAGGAGAAGUCUCCGCCUCGCCUGACCUUGGGCUCGGACCGACCGCGCCACAGGGGAUACAUCAUUACCGUACCCCUAGCCAGCUCAGGCUACGAGGGAACAAGACCGGCGUCCCAUCUGGCUCACCCGGGUAACAGGUAAUGAUGGUUCCCCACGUGCGUCCAUGACGUCGGUGGUUCUCAGCCCCCUACGGAAGCAAGGAGACGUCAGCAGGAUCCCAGCCGCACCGCCAGCUGUGCUUCUAUAGGGCUUAGGCACUUCUCCGACGGCCACGUUAUCGCGUACACAGGGCUCAAGCACUUCUCCGACAACCACGUUGGCAUGUACACAGGGCUCAGGCACUUCUCCGACGGCCAUGUUAUCGUGUACACAGGGCUCAAGCACUUCUCCGGCAGCCACGUUGGCAUGUACACAGGGCUCAGGCACUUCUCUGCCAGACACGUUAGCGUAUAGCUACACUCCCCAUUGUACAUCUGGACCCUCUCCUUGCAUCUAUAAAAGGGAGGUCCAGGGCCUUCCUGCGGGGGGUCGCGCGGGGGACGAGCAAACGAACAGGCUCUCUCUCUCGCGACGCUUGUAACCCCUACUACGAGCACCCCCGGUGCGAUAUAAUACAAGUCGCAUUCCCCCUUGUGUUCCAUCUUGCGCCAACCCAUCUGGGCAGGGGCACGCAGCGAUAAAAUCACUGGUCGGCUCGGUUGAGGGUCCCUCGGGUCCGAAACGCCGACAGUUGGCGCGCCAGGUUGGGGCCUGCUGCGUGUUAACACACACCUUCCCGUUGAGUUCCAGAUGGGUCGUCUCCAGCAACCUCUUCAGCCCGGGACGGUGCUCCGCUUUGGGAGUCUCGAGUUCAUGUCCUGCGACGGCAGCUACAACAUGGUACUCCUCCCCUUGCAGCACGACAACAACGACGACCAUCAGCUCGCCCGGCGGCGGCGAACUCGACGACGUCUUCCCCCCGUGGCGGAAGAGCAGCAUCCGGGUUUGCCCCGCCACCCUCCUCGCCGUAGGAGGAGACAGGGCAACCGUGGCCAGGCGGGUGGCGGCACCUCGUCGGCUAUCGGUCCAGAUCGAGUCGACGACGUCGGCACCUCGGCUGGGGACAUGUCGGGCGUUGUCCUCGCACCUGAGACAACGACAGGUGUCGUUUCCCCGCAACGUGCCAACCCCAAGCGGACAGAUGACGCCAGCACUCUCGCGAAGGACUUGCUGGGCGUUAACCUCGUACCUGAGAUGAUGGUGCAUUCCGUCCCCGACGCGACUUCACCACCGUCCAUCGAUCAAAAGGUACCGUCCGUUUUCCACCCUGUGCCCUUUAGAUUCAGUUUUGAUCCACCAAGCGACCCCGCUUCGGUGAGCGCUUUCUCAAGGGCAUAUCUUGACCUUCCAGGGUACCAUAUGUGGUCAACCUGGGACCGACUAACGGCCGUCUCAACCUACGAGCCCCCGGGUUCCGAGGAAGAAGACAACCCCGACUCCGGUUGGGAUUUCUCCGGGCUCCGUGAUCCCAGUGCCAUGCGAGAAUUCAUGACCGCAUGUGACUACUACCUCUCCGGUUGCUCUGACGAUGGCCACAGCCUUGACGACGAGGGUUGUGGCCCAAGUCGUGAAUGUUUCCACGUCGAUCUGGGGGAUCGCGACAAAGUCAACCACCUCGGUAUGCCGGAGGAUAACGAUCCCCCUGGGCCUGCUUCUCGCGUUGACCUCCCGCGGGAGCUAGCUGUGGUCCCAGUCCCUGUGGGGGGUCAGGACACACAACUCGAGCAAAUCCACGAGAUGCAGGCCAAGCUCGACGAGGAAGCCGGGCAACUUGUGCAGCUCUGGCAAAACAUCGAGCAGGAGUGGGCAGGCCGAGCACUCGCCGAAGAAGCGCGUCAUCAGGCCCGGGACGUCCAACGCCGUAUCGUUGACGAUGCCAGGGCAAGGCUGCCCCCGGCCUCCAACGGGGUCGGCCAGAAUCUAGCUGCAGCAGCAAUGCUACUCCGAGCAAUGCUGGAGCCAUCCACCACCGAGGGGCGGCGUAUCCAGGGAGAACUCAAGAAUCUCCUGGAGGAGGCCGCGGUCCGACGGGCCGAAAGCUCUGCCUCCCGAAGGCCAAGGUGCCCUCCGGAGCAUCGCGCAACGACUUCCCAACUCAUGCGGGAGGCCUCGGUCCGCACCGGGCGCACGCGGGAUGGGACGCCUGUAGCCCCAGAUCGCCUCGGUGACGAGCACCACCGCCGCGACCGUCGAGCCCGCCUCGAAGAGAAGGUGCGCCAAGGCUACCACCCCAGGCGUGGAGGACGCUACGGGAGGAUCGAAGUCCCUUGCCCGAACCACCAGGUCCACGAACCUUCAGUCGGGCCAUACGACGGGCGCCGUUCCCGGCUCGGUUCCGGGCCCCCACUACCAUCACCAAGUACUCGGGGGAGACAAGGCCAGAGUUGUGGCUUGCGGACUACCGGCUGGCAUGCCAGCUGGGAGGGACGGAUGACGACAACCUCAUCAUCCACAACCUCCCUCUCUUCCUCUCCGACGCUGCCUAGGCAUGGCUGGAGCAUCUGCCUCCCGCGCAGAUCUCCGAUUGGGGCGACCUGGUCAAGGCCUUCGCGGGAAACUUCCAAGGUAUGUACGUGCGUCCUGGGAACUCAUGGGAUCUCCAAAGCUGCCGCCAGCAGCCAGGGGAAUCCUUGCGAGAGUACAUCUGAUGGUUUUCAAAGCAGCGCACCGAGCUGCCCAACAUCACCGACUCGGACGUCAUCGGGUCGUUCCUCGCCGGCACCACCUGCCGAGAUCUGGUGAGCAAACUGGGGCGCAAGACUCCCACCAAGGCGAGCGAAUUGAUGGACAUAGCCACCAAGUUUGCCUCUGGUCAGGAGGCAGUCGAGGCCAUCUUCCGGAAGGACAAGCAGCCUCAACAAAGGCAGAAGGAAGACGUCCCCGAGGCGUCCGCCCAGCAGGGCACGAAGAAGAAGGCCAAGAAGAAGGCGCAAGCAAAGCGCGACGCCGCUGACUCGGAUCUCGUCGCUGCUGCCGAGCACAGGAACCCACGGAAGCCUCCCGGAGGGGCGAACUUGUUCGACAAGAUGCUCAAGGAGUCAUGCCCCUACCACCAGGGUCCCGUCAAGCACACCCUUGAAGAAUGUGUCAUGCUCCGGCGCUACUUCCAUAAGGCCGGGCCCCCGGCGCAAGGUGGCAAGGACCAAGGCAACAACAAGAAGGAGGGUGACAAGGAAGAGGAGUUCCCGGAGGUCCACGGCUGCUUCAUGAUCUACGGUGGGCAAGUGGCGAACGCCUCGGCUCGGCACCGCAAGCAGGAGCGCCGGGAAGUCUGCUCGGUGAAGGUGGCGGCGCCAGUCUACCUAGACUGGUCCGACAAGCCCAUCACCUUCGACCAAGGCAACCACCCCGACUGCGUACCAAGCCCAGGAAGGUACCCGCUCGUUGUCGACCCUGUCAUCGGCAACGCUAGGCUCACCAAGGUCCUCAUGGAUGGAGGCAGCAGCCUCAACAUCAUCUACGCCGAGACCCUCGGGCUCUUGGGGAUAGAUCUGUCCACGAUCCGGGCCGGUGCAGCACCCUUCCACGGGAUCGUCCCCGGUAAGCGCGUCUUGCCCCUUGGGCAACUUGAUUUGCCUGUCUGCUUUGGAACUCCCUCCAACUUCUGCUGGGAAACCCUCACGUUCGAGGUGGUCGGGUUCUGAGGGACCUAUCACGCGGUGCUGGGGAGACCGUGCUACGCCAAGUUCAUGGUCGUCCCCAACUACACGUACCUCAAGCUCAAGAUGCCAGGCCCCAACGGGGUCAUCACCGUCGGAUCCACGAACCGACACGCGUACGAAUGCGACAUGGAGUGCGUGGAGUACGCUGAGGCCCUCGCCGAAUCCGAGGCCCUCAUCGCCGACCUAGAGUGCCUCUCCAAGGAGGUGCCUGAUGCGAAGCGCCACACCGGCAACUUCGAACCGGCUGAGGCGGUUAAGUCCGUCCCUCUCGACCCCAGCAAUGACGCCGACAAGAAAGUCUGGAUCGGCUCUGAGCUCGAGCCCAAAUAGGAAGCAGUGCUCGUCGACUUUCUCCGCGCAAACGCAGAAAUUUUUGCGUGUAGUCCCUCGGACAUGCCCGGCAUACCGAGGGAUGUCACCGAGCACUCACUGGACAUCCGAGCCGGCGCCCGACCCGUGAAACAACACCUGCGUCGCUUUGAUGAAGAGAAGCGCAGGGCCAUAGGCGAGGAGGUCCACAAGCUGAUGGUUGCAGGGUUCAUCAAAGAGGUAUUCAAUCCUGAAUGGUUAGCUAACCCUAUGCUUGUAAAGAAAAAAGGUGGGAAAUGGAGGAUGUGCGUAGACUACACUGGUCUAAACAAAGCAUGUUUGAAGGUUCCCUACCCUCUGCCUCGCAUCGAUCAAAUUGUGGACUCCACUGCUGGGUGCGAAACCCUGUCAUUCCUCGACGCCUAUUCAGGUUAUCUACAAAUCAAGAUGAAAGAGUCCGACCAGCUCGCGACUUCUUUCAUCACACCUUUUGGCAUGUAUUGUUAUACUACUAUGCCAUUUGGCUUGAGGAAUGCAGGUGCAACAUACCAAAGGUGCAUGAACCAUGUGUUCGGGGAGCACAUCGGCAGAACGGUCGAGGCUUACGUCGAUGACAUCGUUGUCAAGACCAGGAAAGCCUCCGACCUCCUCUCCUACCUUGAGACAACAUUCAAGUGUCUAAGAGCGAAAGGCGUGAAACUCAAUCCCGAGAAGUGUGUCUUCGAAGUCUCCCGAGGCAUGCUCUUAGGGUUCAUCGUCUCCGAGCGGGGCAUAGAGGCCAACUCGGGGGAAAUCGCGGCCAUCACCAACAUGGGGCCUAUCAAAGAUUUGAAAGGAGUACAAAGGGUCAUGGGAUGCCUUUCGGCUCUGAGCCGCUUCAUCUCGCGCCUCGGUGAGAAAGGAUUACCCCUGUACCGCCUCUUAAGGAAGGCCGAGCGCUUCACUUGGACCCCCGAGGCCGAGGAAGCCCUCGGAAACUUAAAGGCGCUCCUUACUAAUGCGCCCAUCUUGGUGCCCUCCGCUGCGGGAGAAGCCCUCUUGAUCUACGUAGCCACAACCACUCAGGUGGUCAGCGCCGCGAUCGUAGUCGAUAACGAGAAGAAGGGCAUGCACUGCUCGUCCAGAGGCCGGUCUACUUCAUCAGCGAGGUGCUAUCCGAGACCAAGAUCCGCUACCCACAAAUCCAGAAGCUACUGUAUGCAGUAAUUCUGACGCGGCAAAAAUUGUGACACUACUUCGAGUCUCAUCUGGUGACUGUGGUGUCAUCCUUCCCCCUGGGGGAGAUAAUCCAGUGCCGAGAGGCCUCGGGUAGGAUAGCAAAGUGGGCGGUGGAACUCAUGGGCGAGACAAUUUCAUUCGCUCCUCAGAAGGCCAUAAAAUCUCAAGCCUUGGCGGACUUCCUGGCUGAAUGGGUCGACACCCAAUUGUCCACAGCUCCAAUCCAAGACAAACUUUGGACCAUGUACUUCGAUGGGUCGCUGAUGAAAACUAGAGCAGGUGCUGGCUUGCUCUUCAUCUCACCCCUCGGGAAACAUGUGCGCUACGUGCUGCGCCUCCAUUUUCCGACAUCAAACAACGUGGCCGAGUAUGAGGCUUUGGUCAACGGGUUGCGCAUCGCCGUCGAGCUAGGGGUUCGGCGCCUCGAUGCUCGGGGCGACUCGCAGCUUGUCAUUGACCAAGUCAUGAAGAACUCCCACUGUCACGAUCGAAAAAUGGAGGCCUAUUGCGACGAAUUUCGGCGCUUGGAAGAUAAGUUCCAUGGGCUGGAACUCAACCAUGUUGCUCGACAGUACAACGAGACUGCGGAUGAGCUAGCGAAAAUAGCCUCGGGGCGAACGACGGUUCCCCCGAACGCCUUCUCCAGGGACAUAUGUCAACCAUCCGUGAAACUCGACGACGCGCCCGAGCCCGACGAGACCUCGGCCCAGCCCGAGGUACCCUCGGCCACCGAGGGUGAGGCCUUGCGCGUCGAGGGGGAGUGGGAUGGGGUCAUGCCAAACCCGAACUGGCAGACCCCGUACCUGGAAUAUCUCCUCCGAGGAGAGCUACCCCUCGAUAAGGUCGAAGCUCGGCGACUGGCUCGGCGCGCCAAGUCGUUCGUUUUACUGGGUGAUGAAAAGGAGCUCUACCACCACAGCCCCUCAGGCAUUCUCCAACGAUGCAUACUCGUCGCCGAAGGACAAGAGCUGUUGCAAGAGAUACACUCGGGGGCUUGCAGUCACCACGCAGCACCUCGAGCCCUCGUGGGGAACGCCUUCCAACAAGGUUUCUACUGGCCGAUCGCGGUGGCCGACGCCACUAGGAUUGUACGCUCCUGCCAAGGGUGUCAAUUCUACGCGAGACAGACGCACCUGCCCGCUCAGGCCCUACAGACAAUAUCCAUCACCUGGUCGUUUGUCGUGUGGGGGCUGGACCUCGUCGGUCCCUUGCAGAAGGCACCCGGGGGCUUCUCGCACCUGCUGGUCGCCAUCGACAAAUUCUCCAAGUGGAUCGAGGUCCGACCCUUAACCAGCAUCAGGUCUGAGCAGGCAGUGGCGUUCUUCACAAACAUCAUCCAUCGCUUUGGGGUCCCAAACUCCAUCAUCAACGACAAUGGCACGCAGUUCACUUGGAAGAAGUUCCUGGACUUCUGCGAGGACCACCACAUCUGUGUGGACUGGGCCGUCGUAGCUCACCCCAUGACGAAUGGGCAGGUGGAGCGUGCCAAUGGUAUGAUUUUGCAGGGACUAAAACCAAGGAUCUACAACGACCUCAACAAGUUUGGCAAGCUGUGGAUGAAAGAGCUACCCUCGGUGGUCUGGAGUCUAAGGACGACACCGAGCCGGUCCACGGGUUUUUCGCCGUUCUUUCUAGUCUAUGGGGCCGAGGUCGUCCUACCCACGGACUUAGAAUACGGUUCCCCGAGGACAAAGGCGUAUGACGACCAAAGCAACCAGACGAGCCGAGAAGACUCAUUGGACCAGCUGGAAGAGGCUCGGGACGUGGCCUUACUACACUCGGCACGGUAUUAGCAGUCUCUGCGAUGCUACCACGCCUGAAGGGUUCGGCCCCGAGGCUUCCAGGUGGGAGACUUGGUACUUCGAUGUGACAAGACGCCCGAGGGCGCCACAAGCUUACUCCUCCCUGGGAAGGGCCGUUCAUCAUCACCAAGAUUUUGAAGCCUGGAACAUACAAGCUGGCCAACGAUCAAGGCGAGGUCUACAGCAACGCUUGGAACAUCCAACAGCUUUAACACCCCUAGUGUUACUGUAACUAAAACUUGAGCAUAACAUCAUAAGCAUUGGCAUUGCAUAUGUUUGAUACACUUAGAGUGCAUUCACUAGGCAAAAAUUUCAAGCAAGUUGUAUUGUUCUCGUGUUUUGCAAAUAAGACCCUGGAAUAGGAUACUUAACCCUAAAAGGGAUCCUGAAGGGUAAAACAAGAGCCAAAUAGAGAAAACCCCAAAGACUAGGUAAAAUAGUCAUAAAAUAUUACUAAGGAUGGGUUUAAGUUGCAGUUACACCCCUGAGAUACCAGAAACCAUAAUUGAAACCCUGGAAAACCCUAAACCCAAACCCUAGGGGCCUAUGUGCAAAAACAGUGCACAUUUGGACUAAAAUGUAAAAACUACAAUGUUAAAGCAUAUAAAGUCAUUUGGUUCAAAAAUGUGUGGACUUGUAAGCCAAAUAUUGGAUUUUGGACUUAAUUGCAAAAUGGACCUCAUUUGAGUUCUAUGCUAAGUCUGAAUUUCAGUGUUAUAAGCUCAAUUUUGGACCUUAUUAACUUUCAAAUCACUAAGAAUUUGCCCUAGGUCACCACAUCAAACUUGUAGAUCAAACAAAGGAGAACAAUUUUGCUUAAGAGUGUAAGCAUAGUUGUUGAGAAGAAAUUGGAAAUAAUUAAGCCCAAAGUUGGACUGUCAGACUACUUAAAGUCUGAAAUCAGACUAACAGUGGAAUGGCAUGAACUUCAAGCUCAAUCUCAAGCAAGAUCCAUUGACUUUUUGUGGGAGCACAAUAUAGAAAAGUUCUAGUUGGUUUAUAGCACUACAAUAUUGCUACAGAGAUUUGGACAUGUUGCCAUGGAAAUCUGAGAGAAAAUCGAGUUCAAAGGUUGAAUGUCAGGCCAACUGAAUGGAGAUCGCCAUGGUACAGUGUCCCAAGGGGAUCAGAUUGCCAGCGCAGCAGCUUCACCGCCGACGACCGAUUUCCGCCGCGAUUCGUGCCGCCGCCGGUCCAAUUUGUGCUAGGGGUGAAUGGAUAACACCGGUGUACGUCACCGGGGAUAAACUCCGGCCGAUAAACAAUUCCGGCCGUCGUACCAUGUUCACCGCGGUGGAAACCGAUAAGAACGCCGGUGACUGCCGUCGCACGGCCUUGUGCCACGUGCCUGAGUACCUCCACUGCAUCGCGGUAAGCCUUAGUGACUCUCGGUUGAUCGCCGGGAUGACCGCCACGGUAGAGGCCACGAAUCCACUGUGCCAGUGCUCUUCCUUUCCUCCGACCGCCGCGCGUCGUCAUCCAAAUUCCCGGCCGCCGCUCUUGCUUCCUAUAAAUUGAGCCCUCCGUCAGCUCCGCAACAUCACCACGCACUUAGCCACCCAGCAUUGCCCCCAACCGAUCACCAACGUGCUCAAAUUUUGGGUUUCCCCAAUUCGGUUUCCGCCACCACGAAGAACACCUCGCCGCGGCCAGCGCAAAUCAGGUCUGAUCCUGUCGUCCUUAGUUUUGUUCUAGCAUCCUCAUGUGUCUGUGAUGCUCACCGACCCACCCAAUUGAAUUAGACUACCACCGUUCGCCGGGAACACGGGCAGGUGUCCGCGAUAACCAUUGUCACCGUGGCUAGGGCGUUGUAGUGUGCCAUUGCUGAAAUUGACUUAGGGGAAUGGUUCUGGGAGAUCCAAUUCGGUGUUCGCCACUCGGGGCCGCCAGUCUUGGCUCCCUCUGGCCGGUCCAGGUGCUCGCCGGAGCUCUGUCGCGCCGUGCACCGUCGGGGACCUGGCGCGGUGAAGGAAUAGAACUUCAAGGGCCUUAGUGCAAACUGUUAGUGACUCUGAGUAACAGUGAUGGAACCCGUUCCCAGUUAGCGAAAACCCCGAGGGCCUUUCUGCGAAGUCUCCACCGCGGGCGCGGGCGCGCGCACGUUUCUGCUGUUACUGGGUCGUCCUGGGUUAGAUUGGGUCCAAUACUGUUGCAAGUUUUUCUUUUUCUUUUUCUUCCUGAGCCAAUAAAAUUCUAGAAAAUUGUAAAAAAAUCCUAAAAUUGUCAAACCAAUUUUACUAGGUUCCUUAUUUUCUAUAGUAUUUAAUAAAAAUAGUUGACUGAUGUUUAGAACAAAUAGGGAAUUUUGGGGUAUUUAAAGUAGCUUAAAACAUUAGUUCUGGAUUUUUAGAAAAUAAAUGGUAAUUCCAAAAAUGCCCAAACUUUUUAUUUGAGCUCUACACAUUAUUUAGAAGCCUUGGGUAGAGUUUGGUUUGAUUUGGGCCUCGUUUGAUAACUAGAACCCAAAACCCUACCCCCUGCCCUUUGAAUUCCUUUACUGACUCCGGAAACCAUAAAUUCUCUGAGUUCCGUGAAGGAAAGUUGUAUUCAAGACUUUAGAUAAUAAACUCUUAUUAUCUUUGCACUCUCAUGAGCAUUACAUGGCAUUCAUUCUUAUAUAUAUACCUAUAUGGUUAUAUUUAGAAAACGAAGAAGAAGUCGAAGUAACCGAAGAGAAGACACAUGGUUAUAUUUAGAAAACGAAGAAGAAGUCGAAGUAACCGAAGAGAAGACACAACCACCUUCGGAAUCUUAGGCAGGAAAUUGUUUCUACUUUGAUAUCUGCGGAUCCGAGCCUGACUCACCUAUAAACGAAGGCAAGCCCCGGUGCAUUUGUCACCCUCCUUGAUGCUUUUAAAAUCUUUCUCACUUGCUUGAUGCAUUAGGUGAUAGGAGUUGAUUGCUAAAACAAUUCCGGCAUUACCUUCCUUGAAUUUGAUUACCUUCCUUGAUCACCCGUUUUACAAAAGAUUUUUUAUGCUUAGCCUUGCUUUAGAAAAACAAAAUGUUUUGUUUUUACAAAAGAUGAUGUGGCAAAAGUGGGUGGGAUGUUUUCGAAAAUAAAACUUGAUGGUGGAUCCAUCAUGGCCGUGAUGGGUUCAACAUCGGAAAAGAUGUACCUCUGCCAGGUACCAAACUUUGGGUUUGAAAUGAUUAAGCUGAGACCGGGCAGGUGACUUGCAUGAGAAAGGAGUCUUGGUGUAGUGUCUCUGUCUGAGUCGAUUAAGGACCGUGUCGAUGUAGGCUUGAUGACCAAGGACCCUUUAACUGGUCACAUGCCUCCUCAUGGGUAAGCCUUGCCUCGGGCAGACUAAGGCCAGAAUAAGAUAACACGGAAUGGGCGUGGAGUGGUGGCGAGAGUAGCGUGUACCCUCCGUGGCAAGAGGCUAGACGAUGGUGUAUCUGUGCUAUUGGUUCGCGUGAACCUGAUCUGGUCUUAAGAACCCCGGUAGCGGGUUGACAUAUGCAAGGGUUAAGUGCUACAUAUGUCGUGUGAUUGGAGAUCCUCAGCUGAGUAUAAUCGAUUCGGAUUGUCGUACCUUCUCGGUUAUGAAGACUUGGUCACUGACCUAUACGUAGAAAUCCACUAAAGAUGAUGGGUUUGUUAAGAAAUUGGCUAGUGCAGGUCAAGUGUUUGAACUAGGUAGAAAGAACUCUAGUUGCAGGUAAUUUUACUUAACUUGACAAAUAAAACUGGAUUUUUAAGGAUCCACUCUUAGUAAGCAUUUCUGCAAAACAGAGUCUUUGAUUAUUGAGAAGCCUUACCUUGACUCCCUUACAACCAGCAUACCCUUGAGAGUCUUUUCUUUAGUCGGGUAAGACUUGCUGAGUAAUUCCAUACUCAGGGUUUUAUUCCCCGUUGUUUUUAGGUGAGGAAGCGACAAACUUUUGUUGCCUCUGUUCUAAGGUGGUACCAAAGGAAGAACGCCAGGAAUGAAGUGCGGGAGGAAAGGAUCCUCCAUUAGAACUUUUAUGUAAGAACUUAUCGGGGAGGAGUUUUUGCCUCCCUUGGUAUGUGUAAUAAUAUUACGCUGCACUCCUAGGAUAUAUUCUGGUCUGUAAAUAUUCAACUUUAUCUUACUUUUAAAUAAAGUAAGUUUAUGUAAUUGCUUCCGCAUUCUCGUAACUCCGAUGCUUGUAAUGUCUGCGUGACGGGUGAAACGUUCUUGGGAAAGGUAAGAAAAGCAGAUAUCGAACUUGUCAAGUGAUUCAGGGGCACCUACAAGGUUGUCUGAGGUCCGUGGGACAAGGACAACUGUAGGUGGGCCUAAUUACUUGGGAGGUUCCGUUACAGCUGGUAUCGGAGCGAAGCCCUUCUCUGCAGAUAUUAUGAGGCAUCUUCAAAAGGAUUUUCUAAAGACUUAUCUAGAAAAUCUCUUCCCUUCUUAUCUAAGUAUUUCUAAAGAGUUUAUCUUAGAGACCAGAUAGUAAGAGUGCAACAUAUAGAAGGUGUGAAUCAACUAAGGUUGAUUCUGUAAUUACACAUGCAUCAUGCUAAGAAUUAUGCUAAUAAAAUUUUCCCCUUAGAAAAAUGCCGCCGCGCACGAGGAGAACUGCGUGCAAGCAUACUGGACCGAUUGGUGUGCCAUGUCAUCAGCUGGCCCCAAGACAUGAUGAUAGUAGUAGUUGAAGUAAUGAUCCGAUAGGGGAUCUUGAAGCACAAGUGAAUCGGCUCCAAGUGGAACUCUGCCGCAGGGCUGAUAUAUGGGUCGCAGAAGACGACAGAAUUAAUGAGUUGAGAAGUGACGUCUGCCACCUACGAGAUCAGCUCGCGGACAGAGAUUUAGCGCUCGACUGGGUAGUUCAAUCUCGUUCGCUUGCCUGGGCCAAGGAGGCAACAACUCAAGCUCGAAUAGCAGAGCUCAACUCGGUCAUUGAUGACCUGCAGACUUAUUGUAAUACUUUACAUGAAGAAGUUCAUGUACUGUAUUCGCAACUGCACCCCAGUGAACCUGCGGAUCCUGUGGGGACGGAAGCCGGACCCUCGCAUGUAGCGGGAGAAGCGCUUUGUGGUGAGUUGGACCUUUUCAGGCCCCCUCCUUCUAUGAGGUUGGUCGAUGAAUGGUCUCCCACACCCGACGACGAGGCUGCCAGGAGCAACCGGAAGCAGGAAUAGUGGUGUAAUAGUAGAAAUAGAAGUAGAGUAUUGUAUAAUAGGUAGUGUUAUUGUAUAAUAGGUAGUGUAUCCUGUUGUAAAAAUUCGAGUCUGUAACAUUACUCUUUUUAGUAAUGUAAAAUGGGUGGUUUUCUGUGGCAUAUCAUAUUGUUUCCAAAUGUUUGUUGCCACAGAUGCCUUCCAGGACUCGCGCACAGGACGGAGCUAGUACCUCCCAUGGGAGGGAGGCAACGCCAAAUCCACCUCCAGUCCCUCCCACACUUGCCGAGGCUAUCGCUGCCUUGGUAAACGUGACAGCGGAUAAUACCCGUUUUCUGCGAGAGAUGGUGGGUCAACAGUUCCAACAACAAGGCGGGCGGGGUUAUCAACAGGGCCCCCGUGAAACCUCUUACUUGGACUUCUCCGAGACGCGUCCACCAUUGUUCGUUAAGGCGGAAGACCCUUUAGAAGCGGACGAAUGGGUCCGCGUCAUCGAGCAGAAAUUUGGACUUAUUCGGUGUUCCGAAAUUCAGAAGCCCCUAUUUGCGGCACAGCAAAUGCGUGGACGUGCCAGCACCUGGUGGGGAAAUUUUGUUGCCGUACAACCGGCUGGUCAUCAAGUAACCUGGGAUGAGUUUAAGUUGGCCUUCAGUGAACAUUAUGUGCCUGAGGGAGUCCUCCACCUGAAACAUGAGGAAUUUAUGAAGCUAAAGCAAGGAGGGGAUACUGUUAAUCAGUAUCUCAAUAAAUUUAAUCAUUUAUCCCAGUACGCAAUCGAUCAAGUUAACACAGAUUUGAAGAAGAAUAAUUGUUUUAUGAGAGGUUUAAAUGAUCGACUGCAAAGAAUGAUGCAACCUGCAUCGAUCUUACUUAUGGAAGAGCUGUCAGUACAGCUGUUGGGGACUUGUUCUCAAAUGCUAUGAAUUAAGAACAAGACAACAUAAAAUGUUAAAUGUUAAUGUUCUUCGUCCAACGAAGCAUUAUUCCCUUGGGGAUUAAUGGGCCUUGGACGAAGGUUGAUGGCAAUACAAUUACGAAGGUUAAAUCUUCGUAAUUGAAUUCUAACAGAUUGUAUAAGAUGACAUAAAAUAUAGAAUAUCAAAGGUAAAUGAAUCAUAAAUAAACCAUAUUAUAUCCAUUCAGUAUAUUUAAGUGUUGAAUACAAUUAUACCUCUGCCUUGGCAAAGGUUGGUUCCCGAAUAAUGCGAUUGCAAAUACCGGGAUGCGUGAACAGUAAGGGAAUACUGUUCACUAUUUAUAGGCACGGGACACAGCCUGUGAGGAAUUACAAUUAUGCCCCUCAUAAGGGAUUACAACAGCGACCUAAGCAUUUAUGGACUAGAGGGUCAUUCUACUUUUAAGUCGGUUUGUAAUUCCGAAGCUUCAUGAAGAGGAACCUUCGGUCAUCUCAUACGAACAGCUUCAGCCGAAACUGCUUCUUCCUACAAGACCUUCAGCGACGAAGCAUAGUCCCAACAGUAGCCCCUUUCGCGGCGCUAGAUCGUUUUUCGUAACGAGCUUGAUCCGUGAAAAAAGUCUCUUAAGCUUCGAGAAGCCGAAGGUCCAAAAAACACCUUCCCUGAGCUCGUUGUCGAGAAACGAUUCAGUUUCCCAGCGCGUAGCGGUCCCACCUUGCAGAGAUACUGUUUGGUUUCUGCGGUCCACCGCGCAGCGAGUGCAAGCAGCUGUCCGCCUGGUGUAAAAAUCAUGGCGCUUCGCCUUCUUACCUGCAGCACUAUAUAAACAGACGAGUAGGUGUGAAGUUACCACAACAUUCAUUGCUAUUUGCACUGUUUUGCUGCCAAAAUUUUUAACCAUAGCCGAAGCUUGACUCUCGGAAUCAAACGAAGCUCCAGCUUGAAGCCUGCUUCGUCAGAAGAAAAACUUCGGAAGAAAAAGUAUUUAAUUCCCACAAAUUCAGAAUUAAAUGGCCAGAGUGCGUUCUACCGCUAGGGUUGAGCGUGAGGGAGGCGAAGCUGAAGGUUCGGAGACUAUUCCCAUCUCCGAAGCGAUGCAACGAUCCAGGCUGGUAACUUCGGAAAAAAUCCCCAGUGCUGAUGCAGAACAAGCAACUGCCGAAGCAGAAGAAGAAAACAUUGAGGAAACUGAUCCCGAAGAUGAUUAUCGUAUUGCCAUGCCAAGUAAGCCCAGCCACUUGGACUUCGGAAAGUCUACUGUUUCGAAGGCUGAUCUCUCCAAGAUGGUAAAGUCAGGUUAUUUCAGUGAAAGUCAGAAGAAGCUACUACGCUUCGGGGGGGAAGAAACUACCCCAAAGCCGGAGAAGGAUGAAAUAGUCAUUUUCAAGAGCUUUCUAAAGGCUGGAUUAAGAUUCCCCCUGCAUGGGAUUAUUGCAGAGGUAUUGAAGAGGUUUGGUAUCUACUUUCAUCAGUUGACUCCUAACGCUAUCGUUAGGCUUAGUGUUUAUAUCUGGGCCCUCCGAAGCCAGGCGGUGGAGCCGUUUGCGGACAGCUUUUGUCGAGUUCAUGAGCUGCACUAUCAGACGAAGGCUAGAAAAGAUGGAUUGCAUGAUAACUUUGGUUGCUAUAAUUUUGCUUAUCGGAAAACCACAAAGUUUCCUGUAAUCAGCUACCGAAGCAAAUGGGCAGCAGGCUGGAAGUCGGAGUGGUUCUAUGUCAAGGUUGAUGACGACAAGGAGAAGCUUAUGCAGAGUCCGCUUGAACUAAUCUUCGGAGAAACCCGACCUCAUUGCAACAUGACACCAGAAGGUCCAACCCAACAAGCGUUGGAUGAAUUCAGAAUUAUUGCAGAGCAUAUCAGUACAAGAGACCUGGUUCAGGAGUUUUUGGCUUUCAGGGUUUUUCCUAGUUUAAAAGAAUGGGAAAUGCCAAAGCUAGAGGGGGAGAAGAAAGAAGGGGAACUUGUGCGGUUACCUUACUAUUACAAGUUUAAGAAAUACUUUAAAACACCUUGCCAAGAGUGGCUGGAUACAAUUGAAAUAAUGUGCAAUGAAAUACUCGGCAAUUACUCCAAAAAAGAAGAUCAGUUGAUUACUGCGGCCUUCGGCACCCGUCCGAAGCGAAGACGGAAUCGAGUGCUGGACGCCUUGGGUUUUGAAUACCCUGACUACGAAAAUCUGAAUAAAGGUGUCGGAGGCCGGAAAAGGAUAGCCGAAGCCUUAAAUGAAGAUGAGAAAGAACCAUCAAAAGAGAAUAAAAUUCCGAAGAAGAGGAAAGUAUCAUCUCCGAAGCAAAAAGUAUCUGACGAAGAGGAGACUCCCGCAUCACGCUCUGCCACUGACGUGGAAGAAAUUUUGAAGGUAAUGACUGAAUCCCUGCCUGCGAAGCUAAGUCCAUUGGGGCCUCAACUGACAAAGUUUUUUCAGAAGGAAAAGGAGCCCGAAAAAACGAAGAAAACGACUAAAACAAAGAGACAAAGAAUCAUCACAGUGACAGAAGUCAUUGACAAGACACCACCGAGAGCUUCAGCUCAGAAGAUACCAGCGGCUGAGGAAAUAACAAAUAUUGAAAUAACACCUUCGGAGGUCGCCGCUGCCGAAGCUACCUCAAUUGAAGAUUUGAACUUGGAAAGCACAAUCGAACACAUCGACAAAAUGCUGCUAGACAUGGCCACAGAAGAAGCUACUACUGCCGCCGAAGAGGCCAUGGCCGCAGUGUCUGGGAAAGAAAAGGAAAUUGCUGACGAAGCUUCAGAGGACGAGGCCUUCAUGUUUCAAAAUUUAGUUGGAGAAAAAUUGUCAAAAACCGAAAUAGAAGAGCUUAAAGAGUAUGCCAAAUCUUGCGGAUAUAAACCAGGAGCACUCCUCUUCGGAGGUAUUAAUGAUGAAAAAUUAGACUGUAUCCGGGAUCAAACUGGACCUAAGGUUAUCGGUACUCUGUCAGAGAGUAUCGGUUUUCCGAAGCUGGAAACGGACAUUAGCCGCUACCGACGACAACAUAUCGUUGGUAGUUUAUUUUAUUCCAAUUUCAAGGUGAACUACUUUUCCCUUGACUUUUAUUGUUUUUAAUAAUGAAGACAUGUCUAACGAAGGUUGUUUACGUGCAGAGUAUGCUGUUGAGCAAAGCUUUGAAAAUGCAGCAAGAUCUGGAAGACAAAAAACACGAGGUUAUAAUUGAAAAUUUAGAAAGCAAAAUAAAAGAGCAAUCAGCUACUAUUGAAAAGAAGAACUUCGAGCUUCAGGCAACUGAAGGCUUAUUGGCAGAAGCCGAAGCUAAAAUAACAGAAUUGAAUACGAAGCUUCUCUGCCAAUCUGAACAGUUUGAACAAGAAAAGCAAGAACUUAAUGCAAAACUUGAAGCCGAAGUCCAACAAAAUUCAGAUUUGAAAAAAUUAUUGGCAAGCCUUCAAGACAAAUGUUUGGAAUUUAGCAACAAAUGUAUUCAACGACUGAGAAAAAUCUUCCACUCAGUUGGAGCUAGCAGUGAGAAAUUCACCCCGUCAGCUGAAGAUUUACCAAAGACCUUCGAACAUAUUGAGGGUGAAAUUGAUGAGCUUGACGAAGUUAUAGCCGGGCACGGUGACUUCUCGGGGCACUGCUGCAGCUUUCCUAAAAGCUGGCUGCGAUCAUGGAAAAAUUGUCAAUAGGCCCAAUUUCACUCUAUCUCCAUCAAUUCUAGAUGACAUUCCUGAUCUCGUCCGAAGCAUUUCUAAUAGAUUUGUAAAGAUGAUAUGGACAAAAGGCGGGCGAGAAAAGGCUGGAGACGAAGCUCGGAGUCAUCUUGAACCAGUAAGAAAUCAUAUCUUGUGCUUACCUUUUCCUUCAAGCUUGGUUUUGACCUACAACAACUUAAUUCAUGUAGGAUGACGAAGCCGAGACCGAUGCUUAAAGAGAAUGACGCCGAAACUAAGGCCCCAUGAAGAUCAAAUAGGAGUAGACUGUAGACAGACUCAAGAAACUUUUGAGAUAACUUUUGUAAAUAUGACUAAACUUGUUCUUAAUGAAUUCUGUUCAUACCUUGUAAUAUGCUCUUACCCUUCCAUUAAUGUAUGAGAGGUGCUUUGAUGUGGACGAAAUUAUCUUUUUGAGCCGAAGGCGAAAAAACACCUUCCCUUCUUUUCAUACACAGCGAAGCAUAAAAAACAACUUUUCCUUUUUUUUCCGAAGCUCUUCUUUUCGUACACGACGAAGUACAAAAGACAGUUUUUUUUUCUUUUUGCCGAAGCAGCCACUUAUGCUAUGAUGAUGGUUAUCCUACAUAUGCCUGGAUGAAUGUUUAUGAAUGCAAAUGUUAUGAUGUAAUGUGAUGUGCAAAUGAAUGUCCAAACACAUAUCCGAAGCCAUAAUCACAACCGUUAUUUCCUUAGAAACAAUCACAUAUCAGCGCUGACUUUUCGCUGUAAGCUCUGCAUUCCCUUAGGAACGACUUUGGAGCUUCUUCGCCUUUUACUUUCGGCGGAAUCAGCGUUGACUUUUCGCUGUAAGCUCUGCAUUCCCUUAGGAACGACUUUGGAGCUUCUUCGCCUUUUACUUUCGGCGGAAUCAGCGUUUAUUUUUCGCUGUAAGCUCUGCAUUCCCUUAGGAACGACUUUGGAGCUUCUUCCCUGUUUUCUUUUCGGCACUCGAUGGUGCGUUCUCAGCUUUUACAUUUACAUCCUUGGGGGAUUUUGCUCUUAUAGAGCUAAAAAAAGGAAAUUACAUAUGAUGGCCCCAUUAAAAACCUUUCUCCCCCUUCAGAAAAGAAAAAGGGUGCCAUGAAAGAAAAAAUAAAAAAUAUAUAAAAAAUUACAUCAAGUUAUACAUAAUAUCGCCGAAGCUCAUCCGCAUUCCAAGAUCUAGGAAUGUCGUUGCCGUCCAUAUCCUUCAAUCUGUAUGAACCGGGUCUUGACGAAGAUACUACCAAAAAAGGUCCUUCCCAUUUCAACUGCAACUUGCCCACUGUAUCUGGGUUAGCCACUCUCCGAAGCACCAAAUGUCCUGGCUCAAUAUUCUUUAGCCGAACCUUUCUAUCACGCCAUUUGAUUGUUUCGGCUUGAUAUUUAUUGAUGUUCUCCACAGCUUGAAGCCUGAUCCCUUCUAAAGCAUCUUUUUCCACAGAAUAAACAGCUUCAGAAUCUGAUUCUGCCGAAGCUACUACUCUUAUUGAUCCAGUUUUAGCUUCCUCCGGAGUUAUUGCUUCGUCACCAAACAAUAAUUUGAAUGGAGUAAAGCCUGUUGACCUUGAUGUUGUUGUGUUGUGGCUCCACACCACUUUGAUUAAUUGAUCUGGCCACUUUCCCCUAGGUUGAUUGAAGAUUAACUUCAUUAUUCCUGUCAUUAUAAUGCCAUUGGCUCUUUCAACGAGUCCGUUUGACUCCGGAUGCCUGAUUGAUGCAAAAUGGAUCUUCGUACCAAUUUGAUCACAGAAUUCUCUGAAAGCUUCGGAGUCGAACUGUGUUCCAUUAUCUACAGUGAUGGCCUUUGGUACCCCAAAACGACAAACAAUAUUCUGCCAGAAAAACUUUUGAAUGGUGGCCGAAGUUAUUGUGGCUAAAGGCUUUGCCUCAAUCCAUUUAGAAAAAUAUUCCACAGCCACUACAACAUAUCUUAAGUUCCCUUGGGCCGGUGGUAACGGACCUAACAAGUCAAGGCCCCACCUUUGCAAUGGCCAGAUGGAUUGUAUGAGCUGACUUAAGGACGAAGGUUGUUUUUGAUCUCUUGCACAUUUCUGACAACCUUCGCACUUUUGAACUAAUUCCGCUGCAUCCGAAGCUGCCUUCGGCCAAUAAAACCCUUGACGGAAAACUUUUCCAAGUAACGGCCUAGAUCCAAUGUGAGAUCCACACAGGCCUGCAUGUAUUUCUUUUAUCAAUUCUAUGCCUUCGGCUCUAGAUAAACACUUGAGUAAUGGAGCACAAACUCCACGCUUGUACAACUCCCCUUCUAUCAUGACAUAUGGACGAGCUCUUGCCUCUAUCCUCCUGUUAUAAGUUUCGUCAUCUGAAAGGAAUUUACCCUGAAGGUAAGAGAUGAUCUCAGUUCUCCAGUCUUCACUAUAAACAGGAGAUAUAUUGAGGACUGCUCUUUCAAGAAGUUCCACUGAAGGUGCUUUUAUUGUUUCGAAGAACACAUCCGAAGGUAAGGGCAGCCCCUGUGCUGCUGACUUAGCUAGCAAAUCAGCAUGCUCAUUUUGUCCUCGAGGGAUAUUUUUGACAGAAAAUCCUUCGAAGGAAGCUUCGAUUCUUCGGACCGUGUCUAGAUAUUUUUCAAGCUUCGGAUCUUUAGCCUUGCAACUCUUGUCGAUAUGACCUGAAACAACCUGGGAAUCAGUUUUAAGAAUGGCCCUUCUGAUUCCCAUUGCUUUUAACUUCCGAAGGCCCAAAAGCAGGGCUUCGUACUCAGUAAUAUUGUUUGUACAACUAAAAUCGAGUCUCGCCGCAUAACAAGUUUUAACUUUGGAUGGUGAGACCAACACAGCGGCUGCUCCUGCUCCGAAGGUUCCCUAAGACCCAUCGCAAAACACUGUCCAUACUUCGGCAUCUUUAUUUGUUUCUUCAUCCUGAGCCCCUGGCGUCCAAUCGGCGAUGAAAUCUGCCAACGCUUGAGACUGGAUCGAAGAUCUAUGCACAUAAUCAAUGCAAAAUUCAUUGAGCUCUGCAGCCCAUUUUCCAAUCCGCCUAGUAGCUUCUCUAUUUCUCAUAAUAUCCUUCAACGGCUGCGAAGAAGGAACAACAAUAUUGUAUGCUUGAAAGUAAUGCCGAAGCUUCCUGGAUGCCAUCAAAACAGCAUAUAACACCUUCUCCAAUUCUGUAUAGUUUUUCUUUGAUAUACUAAGAACUUCAGAUACAAAAUACACUGGGACCUGCUUCUUGACUUGGCCAUCAAGCUUCUCCUGGACAAGUGCUGCACUUACCGCUGAGUGCGAAGCUGACACAUAUAAUAACAAAGGAGCCCCUAGCGUUGGUGGAGUUAAUGUUGUUAAAUCUAUCAAAUAUUGCUUCAGUUCCUCGAAGGCUUUUUGUUGGCUUGGUCCCCAUUGAAAGACUUCGGCUGAUUUCAGCACUUCGAAGAAUGGUAAAUUUCUUUCUGCUGAUCUGGAUAUGAAUCUAUUGAGAGAUGCCAGCCUCCCUGUCUAUCUUUGGGCCCCCUUUUUUGUAGUUGGUGGCUCCAUUCGAAGUAUAGCUUCAAUUUUACUUGGAUUAGCUUCAAUUCCCUUUGUUGAAACCAAGCAUCCAAGAAAUUUCCCUUUCUUUACUCCGAAGACACAUUUUUCUGGAUUCAACUUUAGACCAGCUUGUCUAAAACUGGCAAAGGUCUCCUGCAAAUCAGCAAUGUGAUUUUCCUGUUUCGUGCUUUUUACAAUGAUAUCAUCAACAUAAGUUAGCACAUUUCUGCCUAUCUGAGACUGGAGAACCUUCGCAGUCAUUCUGCUGAAACUUCCUCCAGCGUUCUUGAGCCCCUCAGGCAUCCGAAGGUAACAAUAUGUUCCACUAGGGGUUAUGAAACUGGUCUUCGGCUCAUCCUCCUUCUUCAUCCAAAUUUGAUGAUAGCCUGAAUAACAAUCGAGAAGACUCAUAAGCUCUGACGAAGCUGCUGCAUCAACUAAGGAGUCUAUCCUUGGCAAUGGGAAUUUGUCCUUCGGACAGGCCUUGUUGAGAUCUGUAAAAUCGAUACACAUUCGCCAUUUGCCAUUGGCCUUUUUUACCAUAACAGUGUUAGCUAGCCAUUCUGGGUACUUUACUUCUCUGAUAACUCCUGCACUGAGGAGUCUUUUGACUUCAUUGCGAGCACCUUCGGCCUUGUCAUCAGACAUUUUCCGAAGCCUCUGCUUUCUGGGUCUGAAGGAUGGGUCAACAUUGAGCGAGUGUUCAAUAACAUCCCUGUUAACUCCGCAAAGGUCAUUGGCUGACCAUGCAAAAACAUCUUUGUUGUUGAACAAAAACCUUAUCAAGGUUUUCUCCUGUUCUUCGGAUAAUUGAGAGCCCAACAGCACCUUCUGCUCUGCUAUGUCCUCACAUAAGAGCAUGGGCUUUGGCUGAUCUGCUGAAGCUGCUUUCUCCCUUCUGAAUUUGUACUGUUCACAAGCUUCAGCUCCAUCUAUGUUAUGGAUUGCUUUUGAGUCAGUCCAGUUUCCCUCAGCCCUUCUGGCAGCUUCCUGACUUCCAUGAAUAGCAAUGGGUCCUUGAUCCGAAGGUAUCUUCAUGCAAAGGUAAGCAGGAUGAAGAAUUGCUUCGAAAGCAUUGAGGGUGCCACGACCAAUAAUUGCAUUAUAAGGGUAUUCCAUGUCAACAAUGUCAAACACAACUUGCUCAGUUCUGGUGUUGUUGAUGAAUCCGAAGGUCACUGGCAUGGUGAUCUUGCCCAGUGCUACAAUCUGUCUUCCUCUGAAGCCACAGAGAGGGUGUGUAGCAUCAUGAAUCUUAUCUUCUGGCUCUUGCAUUUGUCUGAAGGCCUUAGCAAAUAUGAUAUCAGCUGCACUGCCUGUAUCAACCAAGACAUUGUGGACCAGAAACCCUUUGAUAACGCAAGAAAUAACCAUAGCAUCGUUAUGAGGAAAAUCCUUGAGCUGAAGGUCCUCCUGGGAGAAGGUGAUUGGAAUGUGGGACCACCUUGACUUGAUGAAGGGUCCCUGCACUCCAACAUGUUGUACCCUUCUCUGCGCCUCUUUCUUCUGCUUUUUGUUGGCUGGUUCUGAGCACGAACCACCUGUUAUCGGGAGCACCAGCUUCGGGGCCGAAGCAGCUCCAGCUUGAUCGUUGAACGAAGCCAUCAGCUCAAAAAAGUGGAAGUGAGUUCACCGGAGGUGGGCGCCAAUGUUGGGGACUUGUUCUCAAAUGCUAUGAAUUAAGAACAAGACAACAUAAAAUGUUAAAUGUUAAUGUUCUUCGUCCAACGAAGCAUUAUUCCCUUGGGGAUUAAUGGGCCUUGGACGAAGGUUGAUGGCAAUACAAUUACGAAGGUUAAAUCUUCGUAAUUGAAUUCUAACAGAUUGUAUAAGAUGACAUAAAAUAUAGAAUAUCAAAGGUAAAUGAAUCAUAAAUAAACCAUAUUAUAUCCAUUCAGUAUAUUUAAGUGUUGAAUACAAUUAUACCUCUGCCUUGGCAAAGGUUGGUUCCCGAAUAAUGCGAUUGCAAAUACCGGGAUGCGUGAACAGUAAGGGAAUAUUGUUCACUAUUUAUAGGCACGGGACACAGCCUGUGAGGAAUUACAAUUAUGCCCCUCAUAAGGGAUUACAACAGCGACCUAAGCAUUUAUGGACUAGAGGGUCAUUCUACUUUUAAGUCGGUUUGUAAUUCCGAAGCUUCAUGAAGAGGAACCUUCGGUCAUCUCAUACGAACAGCUUCAGCCGAAACUGCUUCUUCCUACAAGACCUUCGGCGACGAAGCAUAGUCCCAAAAGUAGCCCCUUUCGCGGCGCUAGAUCGUUUCUCGUAACAAGCUUGAUCCGUGAAAAAAGUCUCUUAAGCUUCGAGAAGUCGAAGGUCCAAAAACACCUUCCCUGAGCUCGUUGUCGAGAAAUGAUUUAGUUUCCCAGCGCGUAGCGGUCCCACCUUGCAGAGAUACUGUUUGGUUUCUGCGGUCCACCGCGCAGCGAGUGCAAGCGGCUGUCCGCCUGGUGUAAAAAUCCUGGCGCUUCGCCUUCUUACCUGCAGCACUAUAUAAACAGACGAGUAGGUGUGAAGUUACCACAGCAUUCAUUGCUAUUUGCACUGUUUUGCUGCCAAAAUUUUUAACCAUAGCCGAAGCUUGACUCUCGGAAUCAAACGAAGCUCUAGCUUGAAGCCUGCUUCGUCAGAAGAAAAACUUCGGAAGAAAAAGUAUUUAAUUCCCACAAAUUUAGAAUUAAAUGGCCAGAGUGCGUUCUACCGCUAGGGUUGAGCGUGAGGGAGGCGAAGCUGAAGGUUCGGAGACUAUUCCCAUCUCCGAAGCGAUGCAACGAUCCGGGCUGGUAACUUCGGAAAAAAUCCCCAGUGCUGAUGCAGAACAAGCAACUGCCGAAGCAGAAGAAGAAAACAUUGAGGAAACUGAUCCCGAAGAUGAUUAUCGUAUUGCCAUGCCAAGUAAGCCCAGCCACUUGGACUUCGGAAAGUCUACUGUUUCGAAGGCUGAUCUCUCCAAGAUGGUAAAGUCGGGUUAUUUCAGUGAAAGUCAGAAGAAGCUACUACGCUUCGGGGGGGGGGGAAGAAACUACCCCAAAGCCGGAGAAGGAUGAAAUAGUCAUUUUCAAGAGCUUGCUAAAGGCUGGAUUAAGAUUCCCCCUGCAUGGGAUUAUUGCAGAGGUAUUGAAGAGGUUUGGUAUCUACUUUCAUCAGUUGACUCCUAACGCUAUCGUUAGGCUUAGUGUUUAUAUCUGGGCCCUCCGAAGCCAGGCGGUGGAGCCGUUUGCGGACAGCUUUUGUCGAGUUCAUGAGCUGCACUAUCAGACGAAGGCUAGAAAAGAUGGAUUGCAUGAUAACUUUGGUUGCUAUAAUUUUGCUUAUCGGAAAACCACAAAGUUUCCUGUAAUCAGCUACCGAAGCAAAUGGGCAGUAUGCAGGCGCCGGAAAAUCCAAGGGUUUUGGAGGUGACAGGCCAAGUCAGGGCCCGGUGAAAAGGCAACGGUUUGUUAUCCGGCCUUCCAACCAGAAUCGCUCUUUCUCUCGUCCACCCUCCUUCCCUUUUAAGCAACCAGUAUUUAUCCGUCCCAAUACUGCCCCCACUGCAACAAGUCAGCCGGGUGCCCCAGGCACUCGAUUCCCUGCCCUUCCCAGUUCAUCAACGGGAUGCUUCAAUUGUGGAAAGUCUGGGCAUUUUAUUAAGGAUUGCCCCUAUCCGAAGCAAAAUAGCUCAAACGAGCAACAAGGAUCUGGGAAUUCAUCUCAAGCCAAGGGAAAUACUAUGGGCAAAAAUACAAAGAAGACGGGACGCAUAUAUUCUACGCAAGUGGCCACUACACCGGACGGUGAACCAGUAAUGAUGGGUAUGUUCCUUGUGGCCAAUCAUCCCGCACUUAUUCUCUUUGAUUCUGGUGCUUCGCAUACAUUCAUCAGCAAGAAAUUUGUGGAGCAACAUUGUAUUUCAUACCAUGAAUCAAAAGAAGGGUUUAAAAUUCACUCACCUGGGGGACAAAUAUUUACUAGAGAAGUGGCCUAUCAAGUGCCCGUAACAUUGGCCGGACGGGACUUUCCUACUAAUAUGAUUGUUCUGAAAGGCCAAGACAUAGAUGUCAUUUUGGGCAUGAAUUGGUUGGCCCGACACAAAGCAACCCUUCAACACUGAGCAGAGAAUUAUCAGGUUGAGUCAUAACCAAGAGGAAAUUCUUUUGCCUAUCCCCAUUCAAACCAAAACUGCUGGCAGAGUUUAUGAAGUCGUUAUACCGAAGAUCAAGGAUAUUCCGGUAGUAUGCGAGUUCCCAGAUGUCUUUCCAGAGGAUUUGCCUGGAUUGCCACCCAAACGAGAUGUAGAGUUUGUAAUUGAGUUGAAGCCCGGUACGGCUCCCAUAUCUAGAAGAUCGUACCGAAUGCCUCCAAAUGAGUUGGCAGAACUGAAGAUUCAAUUACAAGAUCUACUAGAAAAAGCAUUCAUCCGGCCAAGCUCGUCGCCAUAGGGUUGUCCAGCCAUAUUCGUCAAGAAGAAGGAUCAGACUUUACGAAUGUGUGUGGAUUAUCGACCCCUGAAUGAGGUCACUAUCAAGAACAAGUACCCUCUUCCACGGAUUGACAUUCUAUUUGAUCAACUGACUAGAGCGAGGGUAUUCUCCAAGAUUGAUCUCAGAUCGGGCUACCAUUAGAUCUGUAUUCGGCCCGAGGAUAUACCAAAGACCGCAUUCACUACGCGGUAUGGAUUAUUUGAAUACCUGGUAAUGUCUUUCGGACUGACAAAUGCUCCUGCCCACUUCACUUAUCUGAUGAACUCAGUAUUUAUGCCCGAGUUGGACAAGUUUGUGGUGGUCUUCAUAGAUGAUAUUUUAAUAUAUUCCAAGAAUGAAGAGGAGCAUGCCCAACACUUACGGAUCGUGUUAACGCGCUUGAGAGUACAUCAGUUAUAUGCCAAGUUCAGUAAAUGCGCGUUUUGGCUGGAAGAAAUUCAAUUUCUGGGACAUGUACUGUCUGCCAGGGGGAUUGCGGUGGAUCCCAGCAAAGUCAAGGACAUUUUAGAGUGGAAACCCCCGACCACUGUUCAUCAAGUCCGAAGUUUCCUUGGACUGGCUGGUUAUUACCGCCGAUUUAUACCAGAUUUUUCCAAGCUUGUGAAGCCAAUCACAAGUCUAUUGAAGAAUGAUACUAAAUUCAAUUGGUCUUCAAAAUGUAAUGAAGCUUUUGAACAAUUGAAGGUAUUAUUAACCACUGCUCCGGUAUUGGCUCAACCGGAUAUCGAUAAGCCCUUUGAUGUGUAUUGUGACGCAUCGGGCAGUGGCCUCGGCUGUGUGUUAAUGCAAGAAGGCCGAGUAAUCGCAUAUGCUUCAAGGCAGUUGCGUCGACAUGAAGAACAUUAUCCCACUCAUGAUUUGGAGCUAGCUGCAGUGGUUCAUGCUCUGAAGAUCUGGCGUCAUUAUCUGCUGGGUAAUGUCUGUCAUAUUUAUACAGACCAUAAAAGCUUGAAGUAUAUCUUCACCCAGUUAGAGUUGAACAUGAGACAAAGGCGAUGGCUCGAGCUGAUCAAGGAUUAUGAAUUAGAAAUCCAUUAUCACCCAGGCAAAGCAAAUGUAGUGGCGGAUGCACUUAGUCGCAAGGCUUCCUACCAUUGUCUAACAAUGAGGACUUCUGACAUUACAUUAUGCCAGAAGAUGGAGAAGUUAAACCUGGGAAUGAUUCGGCAAGGGACUUCAAAUCAUUUGAAGCUGGAGUCAGUCAUCUUACAAAGGAUAAUUGACGCAUAGAAAGAUGAUGAAGGUAUGAAACACAUCCAUGAGAAGAUAAAGGCUGGAAAAGCGAAAUGUUUCAAAGAAGACGAUCAAGGUGUUGUAUGGUUCAACAAUCGCAUAGUUGUGCCAAAGAAUGAAGAGCUCCGCCAGCAAAUUUUGGAUGAAGCACAUCUUAGUCGCUAUUCUAUUCAUCCCGGAAGCACUAAGAUGUAUCAUGAUCUAAAACAGCAUUACUGGUGGACGAAGAUGAAAAUUGAAAUUGCACGCUAUGUGGCUAGGUGUGACACUUGCAGACGUGUCAAGGCCAUACACAUGAAGACUGUCGGUCCAUUACAAUCUUUACAUAUCCCAACAUGGAAAUGGGAAGAUAUUAGUAUGGACUUCAUUGUGGGAUUACCCAGGACUACAAAAGGGAAUGAUUCUAUCUGGGUUAUUGUUGAUCGGCUCACGAAAAUUGCUCACUUUCUGCCGGUCAAAACAUAUUACCCGGUUCUUACCUAUGCGGAAUUAUACAUUGCUCGCAUUCUCAGUUUGCACGGUGUUCCAAAGACUAUAGUGUCGGAUCGUGGACCUCAAUUCGUAUCCAAAUUCUGGGAAGAACUUCAUAAGUCCCUGGGUACCAAAUUGCUCCAUAGUUCAGCCUAUCAUCCUCAAACAAGUGGGCAGACUGAGAGGGUCAAUCAAAUACUUGAAGAUAUGCUACGGACAUGUGUUCUGGAAUUCCCACAAAAAUGGGAUGAAUGAUUACCGUUAGUGGAAUUCUCAUAUAAUAAUAGCUAUCAAGAAAGCAUCAAGAUGGCACCCUUCGAAGCUUUAUAUGGACGACGAUGUCGUACUUCGCUAAAUUGGUCUGAACCUGGUGAAAGGUACUUCUUCAGGCCUGAUAUGGUGAAAGAGACCGAAGAAAAGGUUCAGAAAAUAAUUCAUAAUUUGAAGAAAGCUCAAGCUCGUCAAAAAGGUUAUGUGGACAAACGACGAAUGCCUUUGUAUUUUCUGAUUGGAGAUUAUGUUUAUAUGAAGGUCUCCCCGAUGAAGGGGGUAUCACGUUUCGGGGUUAAAGGGAAGCUUGCACCCCGGUACAUUGGUCCUUUCCCUAUACUUGAGCAAUGUGGACCAGUGGCAUACCGACUCCAAUUACCUGAAACCUUGUCUGCUAUGCAUAAUGUGUUCCACGUGUCACAAUUGAAGAAGUGUCUUCGGGUUCCCGAUCAAACCAUUGAAGUGACAGAUGUUGUCCUUGAACCAGACUUAACAUAUUCCGAGCAUCCCAUUCGAGUCUUGGAUCAAAAGGACAGGAUUACCCGAAGAAAAACUCUCAAGUUUUACAAGAUACAGUGGAACCAACAUUCCAAAGAUGAGGCUACAUGGGAAACUCAAGACUUUUUAGAUAAGAAUUUCCCUGGCUUUUUAGCCUCUUGUAAUUUGUAAAGCAUGUACAACAUUGUUGUAAUAAAGGAGUGAGUCCCAAACCACCCCUGCCUUGUACCAAGAAUAAGGAAAUAAAAACGUGAUGUGUUUCCUUUUCCAUUACUUACCCUAGGACUUUUAAUCUCGGGACGAGAUUCUUUUAUGGGGGGAAGGAUGUAACACCCCUGGUGUUACUGUAACUAAAACUUGAGCAUAACAUCAUAAGCAUUGGCAUUGCAUAUGUUUGAUACACUUAGAGUGCAUUCACUAGGCAAAAAUUUCAAGCAAGUUGUAUUGUUCUGGUGUUUUGCAAAUAAGACCCUGGAAUAGGAUACUUAACCCUAAAAGGGAUCCUGAAGGGUAAAACAAGAGCCAAAUAGAGAAAACCCCAAAGACUAGGUAAAAUAGUCAUAAAAUAUUACUAAGGAUGGGUUUAAGUUGCAGUUACACCGCUGAGAUACCAGAAACCCUAAUUGAAACCCUUAAAACCCUAAAUCCAAACCCUAGGGGCCUAUGUGCAAAAACAGUGCACAUUUGGACUAAAGUGUAAAAACUACAAUGUUAAAGCAUAUAAAGUCAUUUGGUUCACAAAUGUGUGGACUUGUAAGCCAAAUAUUGGAUUUUGGACUUAAUUGCAAAAUGGACCUCAUUUGAGUUCUAUGCUAAGUCUGAAUUUCAGUGUUAUAAGCUCAAUUUUGGAGCUUAUUAACUUUCAAAUCAGUAAGAAUUUGCCCUAUGUCACCACACCAAACUUGUAGACCAAACAAAGGAGAACAAUUUUGCUUAAGAGUGUAAGCAUAGUUGUUGAGAAGAAAUUGGAAAUAAUUAAGCCCAAAGUUGGACUAUCAGACUACUUAAAGUCUGAAAUCAGACUAACAGUGGAAUGGCAUGAACUUCAAGCUCAAUCUCAAGCAAGAUCCAUUGACUUUUUGUGGGAGCACAAUAUAGCAAAGUUGUAGCUGGUUUAUAGCACUACAAUAUUGCUGUAGAGAUUUGGACAUGUUGCCAUGGAAAUCUGAGAGAAAAUCGAGUUCAAAGGUUGACUGUCAGGCCAACUGAAUGGAGAUCGCCAUGGUACAGUGUCCCAAGGGGAUCAGAUUGCCAGCGCAGCAGCUUCACCGCCGACGAUUGAUUUCCGCCGCGAUUCGUGCCGCCGUCGGUCCAAUUUGUGCUAGGGGUGAGUGGAUAACACCGGUGUACAUCGCUGGGGAUAAACCGAUAAGAACGCCGGUACCAUGUUCACUGCGGUGGAAACCGAUAAGAACGCCGGUGACUGCCGUCGCACGGCCUUGCGCCACGUGCCUGAGUACCUCCGCAUCGCCGUAAGCCUUAGUGACUCUCCGUUGAUCGCCGGGAUGACCGCCAUGGUAGAGGCCACGAAUCCACUGCGCCAGUGCUCUUCCUUUCCUCCGACCGCCGCGCGUCGUCAUCCAAAUUCCCGGCCGCCGCUCUUGCUUACUAUAAAUUGAGCCCUCCGUCAGCUCUGCAACAUCACCACUCACUCAGCCACCCAGCAUUGCCCCCAGCCGAUCACCAGCGAGCUCGAAUUUUGGGUUUUCCCCAAUUCGGUUUCCGCCACCGCGAAGAACACCUCGCCGCGGCCAGCGCAAAUCAGGUCCGAUCCUGUCGUCCUUAGUUUUGUUCUAGCAUCCACAUGUGUCUGUGAUGCUCACCGACCCACCCAAUUGAAUUAGACUGCCACCGUUCGCCGGGAACACGGGCAGGUGUCCGCGAUAACCACUGUCACCGUGGCCAGGGCGUUGUAGUGUGCCAUUGGUGAAAUUGACUUAGGGGAAUGGUUCUGGGGAGAUCCAAUUCGGUGUUCUCCACUCGAGGCCGCCAGUCUUGGCUCCCUCCGGCCGGUCCAGGUGCUCGCCGGAGCUCUGCCGCGCCGUGCACCGUCGAGGACCUGGCGCAGUGAAGGAAUAGAACUUCAAGGGCCUUAGUGCAAACUGUCAGUGACUCUGAGUAACAGUGAUGGAACCCGUUCCCAGUUAGCGAAAACCCCCAGGGCCUUUCUACGAAGUCUCCACCGCGGGCGCGGGUGCGCACACGUUUCUGCUGUUACUGGGCCGUCCUGGGUUAGAUUGGGUCCAAUACUGUUGCAAGUUUUUCUUUUUUUUUUCUUCCUGAGCAAAAUAAAUUCUCGAAAAUUGUAGAAAAAUUCUAAAAUUGUCAAACCAAUUUUACUAGGUUCCUUAUUUUCUAUAGUAUUUAAUAAAAAUAGUUGACUGAUUUUUAGAACAAAUAGGGAAUUUUGGGGUAUUUAAAGUAGCUUAAAACAUUAGUUCUUGAUUUUUAGAAAAUAAAUGGUAAUUCCAAAAAUGCCCAAACUUUUUAUUUGAGCUCUACACAUUAUUUAGAAGCCUUGGGUAGAGUUUGGUUUGAUUUGGGCCUUGUUUGAUAACUAGAACCCAAAACCCUACCCCCUGCCCUUUGAAUUCCUUUACUGACUCCGGAAACCCUAAAUUCUCGGAGUUCCGUGAAGGAAAGUUGUAUUCAAGACUUUAGAUAAUAAACUCUUAUUAUCUUUGCACUCUCAUGAGCAUUACAUGGCAUUCAUUCUUAUAUAUACCUAUAUGGUUAUAUUUAGAAAACGAAGAAGAAGUCGAAGUAACCGAAGAGAAGACACCACCACCUUCAGAAUCUCAGGCAGGAAAUUGUUUCUACUUUGAUAUCUGCGGAUCCGAGCCUGACUCACCUAUAAACGAAGGCAAGCCCCGGUGCAUAUGCCACCCUCCUUGAUGCUUUUAAAAUCUUUCUCACUUGCUUGAUGCAUUAGGUGAUAGGAGUUGAUUGCUAAAACAAUUCCUGCAUUACCUUCCUUGAAUUUGAUUACCUUCCUUGAUCACCAGUUUUACAAAAGAUUUUUCGAUGCUUAGCCUUGCUUUAGAAAAACAAAAUGUUUUGUUUUUACAAAAGAUGAUGUGGCAAAAGUGGGUGGGAUGUUUUCAAAAAUAAAACUUGAUGGUGGAUUCAUCAUGGCCGUGAUGGGUUCAACAUCGAAAAAGAUGUACCUCUGCCAGGUACCAAACUUUGGGUUUGAAAUGAUUAAGCUGAGACCGGGCGGGUGACUUGCAGGAGAAAGUAGUCUCGGUGUAGUGUCUCCGUCUGAGUCGAUUAAGGACCGUGUCGAUGUAGGCUUGAUGACCGAGGACCCUUUAACUGGUCACAUGCCUCGUCAUGGGUAAGCCUUGUCUCGGGCAGACUAAGGCCAGAAUAAGAUAACAUGGAAUGGGCGUGGAGCGGUGGCGAGAGUAGCGUGUACCCUCCGUGGCAAGAGGCUGGACGAUGGUGUAUCUGUGCUCUCGGUUCGCGUGAACCUGAUCUGGUCUUAAGAACCCCGGUGGCGGGUUGACAUAUGCAAGGGUUAAGUGCUACAUAUGUCGUGUGAUUGGAGAUCCUCAGCUGAGUAUAAUCGAUUCGGAUUGCCGUACCUUCGCGGUUAUGAAUACUUCGUCACUGACCUAUACGUAGAAAUCCACUAAAGAUGAUGGGUUUGUCAAGAAAUUGGCUAGUGCAGGUCAAGUGUUUGAACUAGGUAGAAAGAACUCUAGUUGCAGGUAAUUUUACUUAACUUGACAAAUAAAACUGGAUUUUUAAGGAUCCACUCUUAGUAAGCAUUUCUACAAAACAGUGUCUUUGAUUAUUGAGAAGCCUUACCUUGACUCCCUUACAACCAGCAUACCCUUGAGAGUCUUUUCUUUAGUCGGGUAAGACUUGCUGAGUAAUUCCAUACUCAGGGUUUUAUUCCCCGUUGUUUUUAGGUGAGGAAGCGACAAACUUUUGUUGCUUCUGUUCUAAGGUGGUACCAAAGGAAGAACGCCAGGAAUGAAGUGCGGGAGGAAAGGAUCCUCCAUUAGAACUUUUAUGUAAGAACUUAUCGGGAGGAGUUUUUGCCUCCCUUGGUAUGUGUAAUAAUAUUACUCUGCACUCCUAGGAUAUAUUCUGGUCUGUAAAUAUUCAACUUUAUCUUACUUUUAAAUAAAGGUAAGUUUAUGUAAUUGCUUCCGCAUUCUCGUAACUCUGAUGCUUGUAAUGUCUGCGUGACGGGUGAAACGCUCUUGGGAAAGGUAAGAAAAGCAGAUACCGAACUUGUCAAGUGAUUCAGGGGCACCUAUAGGGUUGUCUAAGGUCCAUGGGAUAAGGACAACUGUAGGUGGGCCUAAUUACUUGGGAGGUUCCGUCACAUCUGUAACACCCGGGUUUUAGGGGUCCAAAGCCCGGGCGUAAACAUAAUCACCAGGUGUGCUGGGACCAAGUCUCACACAUAUGAUGAAUCAUGGCACAGGAUCGAAUGUCACAUCUUUACUAUAUAACAUGAAUUCUAUACAAAAUAAAUAAUUACAUUAUAAGGAGACAAUGGUCCAGUAACCCAAAGUUGACUGGGAGACGACGGCCUAGACCUCUCACGAACACAUCGCAGCAUCCUCCAAGCGCCUCAUCCUGCGGUACCUGUUCUUGACCUGUGGGGGGGUGUGAGACAGCAAGAGUGAGCUCACAUACGUUCAUCGCUCAACAAAUUGUGGGGAAUAAUGUGUAUGAACUCGCCAAAGGUGGGAGCUCAUGUGAAGUGUAAGGCUUACCAAAGAGGAUGGCUGAAGCUGAGCAUUGCUUUUAAAGUUGGUCAAAAUUUUAUUAGCCAUUACUAAGUAUAAGUAAAUACCAACCCAAUUAAAUAGUAGAACAGAAGUAACAACAUCACCUGCGAUGCAAUGCAUAUGACAAAUUGAAUUUAAGUUCCAUAGAUUAAUCAUGUGAGUGUCCGAGCUGCUCAUGACCGUGAGCACGGCUAGUAUACCAGUUUUACACUCUGCAGAGGUUGCACAUCUUUACCCACAAGUCAUGUUACCCAUCUGCCAAGGGAUCGCGACUUCCCAUACACCUCUACCGAGGAGGCGAGGCAGGGUAACACUACGAGGCCUUUACAAAGUUCCACUAGCUUCAGAAAACCCGCUACAGUUUAUAGGAAGCUCCAAUGCAGGAAUCCCUUGCAGGACCGCCAUCGCAGCAAAAUCCUCCCGAGGGCCUCCCCACACUGACCACUCCCCUACUGCCCUUGCCCCUUUCGGGUAAGGUAGUCCUCCACUAGCUUUCCUAAUUAGUCAGCCAAGGGCGUCCAUAAACCCUUGUGGUAGCACUGUUUUCCCGGGUGGUUCUCCAUGUUCCAAUUAACAUAAUGAUCUUAUCAUGAACAGUAAAUAACAACUGAUAAUAAAAGUGUAAUCAUGAAUAAUGUAUCUCCAUACCCAAAACCACAUAUAGCACUAGCAAGUACUACCCAAAAAGUUUAGUGGAGUCAAGGUAUAAAGAUAAUCAAACUAGGGUAACCUGUUGGGUCCCAUCAAAAUUAACCUAUGCAGAUCAUUAUGAUUAAUCAGAACAUGACUAGGUAAAAGAAGUGAUCAAGGGCACAACUUGCCUGGGACUUGAGAUUCCAGGUACCAGGAUGAUCUUCAGGUGACUCGUGACCUCGCGCUAGUCGUAGCAAUACAAACAAGCAUGGUAUAGGCAAAAUUAACAUCACACCAAACAUAAGACCAAACUAUAUAUAAGAAUAUUCUACACGUCCUAACGAGAUCGUAGAAACAAGAACCACUAAAUUCGGAGCUACGACUAUUAAGUUAUGAAUUUCUAAAAUUAUUUAGCGCUUAGAAUAGAUUAAUCCAAAUGAAAAUUUUAAAUUAAAGUUUCAUGACUAAACAAUGUUACUAGUUGUUAGAAAAUGUUAAUACAAAAUUAUUGCGACUGGAAUGACUCAAUUUGGAGCUAAAACGAAUUAACUAUGAAUUAUACAAGUUUAUGGAAUUAUUUUCAUACUAAAAACCUAUUUCUUUAUUAAUUUCUGAAUAUCUUAAGUGUUCUGGACUGGGCACAAUAUUUCUUAAAAGAUCAGGGGCCUAAAUCACAAUUUUCUCAAGACUCAGUAUUCCCACAAUAUGGACUACGGGUUUAUUCUACAGAACACCAAGGGUUUAUUUGUAAACAGCGCACGGUGAAGGGGUACGGGUAAACCCCAGCCGCCUGAUCUUAAUCCGAGGGCCCAAAAAUCACAUAAUCGAAAGGGUUUCAGCCAUUUUAAUCACAGCCGUCCGCGGCUGGAUCAACGGAUCGGAUUAGACGAUAAAACUCUACGCCCAGGAUGUAAUCCACACCUUCGAUUUCGUCAUCCACGAUCAGUACGCCUUCUUCUAUCUCCCGUGGGAAAACUGGGCAGCGGCGCCCGGUACCUGUGCUGACCACGGCGGCGCCAUUGCCGCAGCGCCCAGCGGCCAGCACCCGUGACCCGAGCUACAAUUCCUUGAUCCUAUCGGUGCUACGCCUAGCGAGCGAAGGUUGAAGCGAGUCUGUAGGAGAGGAUUUCGCGGAGGGUUUCUUACUGGCAUUUGGAGAGACCGCAGAGGUCUACGACGGCGCAAGCAGGGGCAGGGAUAGCGGCGACCCAUCGCUCCUCCGGCCAGACUCCACGGCAAAACGACGGUGCACGCAUCUCCCUGCGACUUAGUCUUCCCUUCCUCUCUCCUGGAUCCUCUCGGUCGCGGUGUACCUGACGUAUGCUCGUCUCUUCAAUUCGUGGUGACACAAGACAGAUGAGGAUCGGGCUCAGACUUUAUAGCCGUGAGGGAUAGGCUAGCUGGCGUAACAAACUUUCGCUCGUUACGGAAGGCGGUUCAUCGAUCAGCGUUUGAGAGGAAUACGUCGCGAGGUUGUUACGCUACGCAGGAGGCAGUGACUAUCGAGGCAAGAAUUGGGUUACGUCAUGAUGCUUAGCAUCACGUGGGUUUGUGGCAAGGGAAUAAACAAAUGAAGAAAAGAGAAAAAAAAUAAAAUAAAGGGACGUGGGUUGACAGCCUGCACUAGGGAUAGGCUGAGAGAGGAUUCGGCCGACUGCUUAAUCUCUUUCUCUCUCUUUUCUUAAUUCUAGGAUUAUUUAGGAUUUAAAUCCCCAUUUGGAUAUUUACAUAUUUCUUUUUGCAUUAUUAUAAUAUUGUCACAAAAAUGCACACACAAAUAAAAUAUUCAGCAUGAUGCAAUGAUUUAGUAGCAUCUCUCUUUAUUAAUUGUUUUUGGACAUGGUGUUCACAUAUGAUGAUGCAUAAAGAUCAAACUCACAUAAAGAGAAAUUGUUCCUCUACUGGUAUUAUUCCUAGCAAUUACAAAGUGGGUGUUUACAAAUCCUACCCCCCUUAAAAAUAAUCUCGUCCUCGAGAUUUGUAAGAAAAGGGAUACAGAAGGAUUGUUUUGUGAUUCGGCUUUUAGUCUAUAAUAGGUUCAAGAUCCAGAGUUUCAUAUAUAUUUUUUUUAUAGACAAUAGUGGGUGAUUAGGAAGGCCUAGGUAUAUAUGGGUAUAGCCACUUUAUUAUGCAGGAUGAAUGAUAUCUUUAAAGCAUAUAUAGUUUUGGGUAAGAAGGAGUGGGGUAAGAAAAGACUCCAUCCAAGAUUGUGGAUCUUGACUCAUCUUGGUGAUCUCACCUGAUCCUUGAAGACUUGAGUUGGUGCUCAUCCUUUCUUGAUGAAGUUGAUCAUCUUCUCCAGGCUUGUCUCAUUGAUUAGGAGUUAGUGUAUAUUAUCAGGCUGGGGAAUAAGGUUAAGAUAGACAUGGAUGAGAUAGACUACAUGAUGUAGGUCAGAAGUUUGUUUUUGGUGUCAGGUCCAUCAAGACUCUAUUGGUUGGGUUAGCUCAUGGUUGUUAUUCUACAGUGGGGUAAAUACGCUAAUUAGGGCAAGAUGAAUCCAUAAGGAUAGGGUAGAAUCUUUUGAGGUCAGUUAGAUCUAUUAGGAUAAGAUAAAAUCUUUUCAAGGUAAGAUGAAUCUAUUAAUGUAAGAGAGAGUCUUUUAGGAUAAGAUGGAUUGGUUAGAAUGAGAUCUUUUUUUAGGAUAAGAUAAAUCUCUUAAGCUAGAUAUAUUCCAAUGGGGAUAAUCUAGUUAUUUUAUAAAUAUAUUUUUUUAUGCAGAUGCAAUUAUGGACAUUACUCCACAACUCAUCACACUCAAUCAAAGAUCCAAAUCAAACAAGUUUCAUAAGAACAAACAUUCAAGUGUAUAGAUACCUACAAAAAUAGUUUUGUUUUUUUUGUUCCUAAGAGUAGGUCUCCUAUUCCUAAAAAUCACUUUAGGUACAGGAUUUCAAAGUGUGAAAUCCACAUUUGUCUUUAGAAAGAAAAGGUAAGAAUAAUCAGAGUAAAGCGGAAAUAGAUGAGAAAGAUUAAGAGAAGUUUAGAAAAGAAUCAGAGUAGCAAAGAUAAGUAAGUAUUGGUUGUCGAGUUCUAUCUAGGUUUCGUCCUACAGUCAACAUUCCUCUGAUACCACUUCUGUAACACCCGGGUUUUAGGGGUCCAAAGCCCGGGCGUAAACAUAAUCACCAGGUGUGCUGGGACCAAGUCUCACACAUAUGAUGAAUCAUGGCACAGGAUCGAAUGUCACAUCUUUACUAUAUAACAUGAAUUCUAUACAAAAUAAAUAAUUACAUUAUAAGGAGACAAUGGUCCAGUAACCCAAAGUUGACUGGGAGACGACGGCCUAGACCUCUCACGAACACAUCGCAGCAUCCUCCAAGCGCCUCAUCCUGCGGUACCUGUUCUUGACCUGUGGGGGGGGUGUGAGACAGCAAGAGUGAGCUCACAUACGUUCAUCGCUCAACAAAUUGUGGGGAAUAAUGUGUAUGAACUCGCCAAAGGUGGGAGCUCAUGUGAAGUGUAAGGCUUACCAAAGAGGAUGGCUGAAGCUGAGCAUUGCUUUUAAAGUUGGUCAAAAUUUUAUUAGCCAUUACUAAGUAUAAGUAAAUACCAACCCAAUUAAAUAGUAGAACAGAAGUAACAACAUCACCUGCGAUGCAAUGCAUAUGACAAAUUGAAUUUAAGUUCCAUAGAUUAAUCAUGUGAGUGUCCGAGCUGCUCAUGACCGUGAGCACGGCUAGUAUACCAGUUUUACACUCUGCAGAGGUUGCACAUCUUUACCCACAAGUCAUGUUACCCAUCUGCCAAGGGAUCGCGACUUCCCAUACACCUCUACCGAGGAGGCGAGGCAGGGUAACACUACGAGGCCUUUACAAAGUUCCACUAGCUUCAGAAAACCCGCUACAGUUUAUAGGAAGCUCCAAUGCAGGAAUCCCUUGCAGGACCGCCAUCGCAGCAAAAUCCUCCCGAGGGCCUCCCCACACUGACCACUCCCCUACUGCCCUUGCCCCUUUCGGGUAAGGUAGUCCUCCACUAGCUUUCCUAAUUAGUCAGCCAAGGGCGUCCAUAAACCCUUGUGGUAGCACUGUUUUCCCGGGUGGUUCUCCAUGUUCCAAUUAACAUAAUGAUCUUAUCAUGAACAGUAAAUAACAACUGAUAAUAAAAGUGUAAUCAUGAAUAAUGUAUCUCCAUACCCAAAACCACAUAUAGCACUAGCAAGUACUACCCAAAAAGUUUAGUGGAGUCAAGGUAUAAAGAUAAUCAAACUAGGGUAACCUGUUGUGUCCCAUCAAAAUUAACCUAUGCAGAUCAUUAUGAUUAAUCAGAACAUGACUAGGUAAAAGAAGUGAUCAAGGGCACAACUUGCCUGGGACUUGAGAUUCCAGGUACCAGGAUGAUCUUCAGGUGACUCGUGACCUCGCGCUAGUCGUAGCAAUACAAACAAGCAUGGUAUAGGCAAAAUUAACAUCAUACCAAACAUAAGACCAAACUAUAUAUAAGAAUAUUCUACACGUCCUAACGAGAUCGUAGAAACAAGAACCACUAAAUUCGGAGCUACGACUAUUAAGUUAUGAAUUUCUAAAAUUAUUUAGCGCUUAGAAUAGAUUAAUCCAAAUGAAAAUUUUAAAUUAAAGUUUCAUGACUAAACAAUGUUACUAGUUGUUAGAAAAUGUUAAUACAAAAUUAUUGCGACUGGAAUGACUCAAUUUGGAGCUAAAACGAAUUAACUAUGAAUUAUACAAGUUUAUGGAAUUAUUUUCAUACUAAAAACCUAUUUCUUUAUUAAUUUCUGAAUAUCCUAAGUGUUCUGGACUGGGCACAAUAUUUCUUAAAAGAUCAGGGGCCUAAAUCACAAUUUUCUCAAGACUCAGUAUUCCCACAAUAUGGACUACGGGUUUAUUCUACAGAACACCAAGGGUUUAUUUGUAAACAGCGCACGGUGAAGGGGUACGGGUAAACCCCAGCCGCCUGAUCUUAAUCCGAGGGCCCAAAAAUCACAUAAUCGAAAGGGUUUCAGCCAUUUUAAUCACAGCCGUCUGCGGCUGGAUCAACGGAUCGGAUUAGACGAUAAAACUCUACGCCCAGGAUGUAAUCCACACCUUCGAUUUCGUCAUCCACGAUCAGUACGCCUUCUUCUAUCUCCCGUGGGAAAACUGGGCAGCGGGGCCCGGUACCUGUGCUGACCACGGCGGCGCCAUUGCCGCAGCGCCCAGCGGCCAGCACCCGUGACCCGAGCUACAAUUCCUUGAUCCUAUCGGUGCUACGCCUAGCGAGCGAAGGUUGAAGCGAGUCUGUAGGAGAGGAUUUCGCGGAGGGUUUCUUACUGGCAUUUGGAGAGACCGCAGAGGUCUACGACGGCGCAAGCAGGGGCAGGGAUAGCGGGGACCCAUCGCUCCUCCGGCCAGACUCCGCGGCAAAACGACGGUGCACGCAUCUCCCUGCGACUUAGUCUUCCCUUCCUCUCUCCUGGAUCCUCUCGGUCGCGGUGUACCUGACGUAUGCUCGUCUCUUCAAUUCGUGGUGACACAAGACAGAUGAGGAUCGGGCUCAGACUUUAUAGCCGUGAGGGAUAGGCUAGCUGGCGUAACAAACUUUCGCUCGUUACGGAAGGCGGUUCAUCGAUCAGCGUUUGAGAGGAAUACGUCGCGAGGUUGUUACGCUACGCAGGAGGCAGUGACUAUCGAGGCAAGAAUUGGGUUACGUCAUGAUGCUUAGCAUCACGUGGGUUUGUGGCAAGGGAAUAAACAAAUGAAGAAAAGAGAAAAAAAUAAAAUAAAGGGACGUGGGUUGACAGCCUGCACUAGGGAUAGGCUGAGAGAGGAUUCGGCCGACUGCUUAAUCUCUUUCUCUCUCUUUUCUUAAUUCUAGGAUUAUUUAGGAUUUAAAUCCCCAUUUGGAUAUUUACAUAUUUCUUUUUGCAUUAUUAUAAUAUUGUCACAAAAAUGCACACACAAAUAAAAUAUUCAGCAUGAUGCAAUGAUUUAGUAGCAUCUCUCUUUAUUAAUUGUUUUUGGACAUGGUGUUCACAUAUGAUGAUGCAUAAAGAUCAAACUCACAUAAAGAGAAAUUGUUCCUCUACUGGUAUUAUUCCUAGCAAUUACAAAGUGGGUGUUUACAACAUCAGCUACGUCGCUUCUACCCUUAAGAUGUUUCAAGUCGUUCAUAUACCUCGUUUUCUUUACAUACACAAAUAAAGUCUAACCGUCAAGGAAGGAUCAGCCUUGCCUCGGAAAAGCCUGACCCUCCCUCGGGGGCUAGAAGGGAGGAACCCCCUCUGCGUCAAAAUUUUGCUCGGAAAAGUUUUCUACCAAAGGAAAAGUUUUCUACCAAAACGACUUUCGACUAUAUCAAUAACGGAACCCAUAAAAACGAGCGAGGGAGCACGUAAGCGGCAAGGCCGACCGAGCCGAGGGACUCCUACGCCUCCGAGAUACAGAUACCUCACUCAUCACCUUCGGCGAAAAGUGACUCACGCUCGGAUAAGCGGUUUUGUUAUCGAACAAGUCCUAAACGCUCGGGUAGAAAACAACUUUCGUGCUUUCGACUAUAUCGAUAGUAGGGUCCUAAAAACGACGAGAGUACACGUAAGCGGCAAGGCCGACCGAGCUGAGGGACUCCUACGCCUCCGGGAUACGGAUACCUCACUCAUCACCUUCCACGAAAAGUAACUCACGCUCGGAUAAGCGAUUCUGCUACCGAACAAGUCCUAAUGCUCGGGUAAAAAACGACUUUCGUGUCUUCUCGACUAUAUCGAUAACAGAAUCCUACAACCGAAUGAGAGAGCACGUAAGCGGCAAGGCCGACCGAGCCGAGGGACUCCUACACCUCCGGGAUACAGAUACCUCACUCAUCACCUUCGUGAAAAGUAACUCUCGCUCGGAUAAGCGAUUCUGUUACCGACGAACAAGUCCUAAUGCUCGAAACGAGAGGAAAGAAAACGCAGCUUUAUAAUACGACAAUAAAAAUGUUUAGGCCUCGGUGGCCGCGAAAAACAUACACGUGCUUCACACAAACUGUUCCUGCAGGUUCAGACAUCGGUAGGGGGAGGAAGCAGCACCCUCGGUGUCAUUUCCACCCUCGGCGAAAUCUGGCCCGGCCUCAGACGGCGACACGGGCGGAAGGAUCUCCACCUCGAAGGAGGACGUCAGCACCACGCUUGGGCCCUCACGGCCAGGCUCUCCACAAGGGCCCCAGGCCGAGCGGAUGCCUCGGCUGGCCACUCCGUAGCCUCAGCCAGCUGUCCCCCGAGGACCUCAGCCCGGCUCAUGGCCUCGGCAGUGUGACUCCGGGGUUGGUCCCACUCGCGGUUGACCUGGCCAAGCUCCAGCCGCCGCUGCUGCACCUCCUCGGCCUGGGAAGCCACCUGCUCCCGGGCCGACGAAGCCUCUAUUUCGAGCCGACAGCACCUUCGUCCGCGUCGACAUCGCUGCCUCCGGUUUUAGCUCAUCACAGAGCAGCCGAAGGUCCUAAAACUGAGCGAGAGAGGCCUUGAGCGGCAAGGCCGAUCGAGCCGAGGGACUCCUAUGCCUCCGAGAUACGGAUACCUCACUCGUCACCUUCCGCGCAAGGCAACUCACGCUCGGUUAAGUGGUUCCGCUAGCUGACAGGCAAGUCCUGGUGCUCGAAAUGAGGAAGAAACACAACAUUACGCUCAAAUGCCCAAAUGUUCAGGCCUCAGCAGCCGCAAAGAACAAACACCCAUACUCAGGGUACCAUUACAAACGGGACUCUGGUUCCACUCCCGCGGGUAUGAACAACCUCCACACCAGAGGGCCUACGGGAUAACAAACUCCAGGUGGCUCGCCUGUGACCACUGCACCAGCAGCGCGACAACGACCUCCGUCUCGGGUGGCUAGACAGCAGCAGCGAUGGCCUCAGGGCAAACGCUACUGCCGAAGGGUCCUCGUUCAUGUCCCCUCACGGGGGACGAGAACCAGCCAUUAAAGCCAAAGAGCCGGAGGCCCGGAGCAUAGGUGGCACUGACGGUCUGGUCGACGGAAGCAACCACCGCUGCGAUGGGAAGCCUCACCAGCGGGGGCCGCCGCUUUAGCAUCGGCGACAGCAGCCGCCUGCGCAUGGCACGACCGCCAUUCGGACAGAGGACGGACAGCUGCACCCUGGCUAGGCAGCAGCAGUUCGCCUUCCCCGCAUGGCUGGAGGACGCCUCCUCCGCAGAGCUGGAGGAUGCCCUUCUCCCCCGAAUGCCGGAGGAAGAAGCGAGUCGCCAGCCCACGCGGAGGCAGGCCCCAACUCGGUGCGCCCCCUCCCCAGCCCGGAUGAUGAACAUCCUUGAAGCUGAGGGCAGGGCAGAGGCCGCAGCUCGGCUUGCUUCUCCCCACCACAAGGCUGGUGAUCAUUCCUACGAAUGACCAUUGGUGAGGGACUGCAGCCGGUCUCCAUGAUGAAAAUCCUUGAAGCCGAGCGGUGACUGAAGAGCGCCAACCCCCACGGGGUCGCGCUCCUCCAACAACAGCAAGAAGAAGGCAACACGGGUGCACCCCAUCUGGGGGCUCGGAAGGUGGAAGGGUGCAAUGCAUGAAGGGAGUGCAGAGGCAUGUCUACUGCCCGGGGGAUCGAUCCCUUUUUAAAGGCGGCUCUCCACACUCGCAUUCCAAGCGUCACGGGCAAAGUCUCCACCGACGUGCUCCAGGGUUCCCACCCUGCAACACGAGGGUCGGGUCCCACAUGUCAUGCGAGCUGACCCGAAACAAAAGAAGCCAAACCGCUGCACGCGAAGCAGGUAACCGCCCCGCAGUUAUAAGCGUUCCUCCAUCCUCGCCGAAACCAGCGGGCGAAAGGGCGGACCGCUAUGCAAGAGGCGUGCAACCGCACCACGGUUGUGCACCCUUUCGGCUUCAUCGCAUCCGGUGGGACAGCGUGAAGGCCCGGGCCCGCAUGUCAUGCAACCGGUGCGACGGUUACUGCGUGCAAAGAAACCGCACCGCCACUUGCGCCAAUGCCGCAUCUUCUCGACUGCGGAACCAGUGCUGCGACUCGAGGCAGCCCUGUGCAUGACCCAACAGUGCCAAUUGAGUGCAACGAUCACGGGUCAGUCAGCCGCGGGAGGAGGCGCGGCGGUCGAUAUGGCCAAAAGUGGGCCGGCAGUAAUUGUAGCAGCAGACGAGCGGAAGCAGCGGUCAAAUCGCCUAUAGGCUCGCGUCCCCUCCUGAAGCGGCAGGAGAGCCCUCUCCCACGGCAUAAAGACGAUGCACCCGUGUUCUGUUCCUCGAACGACUCGCGCACGCGCAACGGCCGCCCCGCGAAUCGCCCGUCCCGUCGCAUUAACUCCUCGGUAGGGCAAGCGACACCCUUGGUAGGCGAAGCGGGCGUCGUUUCACCUCCGCCAUGAUGACCGCGUCAAAAAAGGUGUGCCACACUAUUUAAAUUCAUAUCCUUUUCCUCUUCCUCUCUCUCUCUCUCGCUACAGGGACCGGGAAAAGGGAUAUUUCAAAAAGGAUCCUUCUCAGCGAAGGAAACUGGCCCCCGAGCCCUCCUACUGAUUAGGGGUUCGAAGGCUGGCCCUUCGGAAGGGUUCGAUAGCCGCCCCAGAGCACCCGGGCUCCGCACCCAUUACUAAUCAGGGGUUCGAAGGCUGGCCCCUCGGAAGGGUUCGACAGCCGCCCCAGAGCACGCAGAGUCAGGGAUGACCCUGGGUACGUCUGUUACAUGGCCGAGGCUCGGGCUACGCUCCCGAGGUACCCUAGGACAUUUCCGAGACCAGCAGGAGCGAUUUUGUAACGGAAUCCCACCAGAGGGAGGCAUCGAGCCCUUGGACACUAUCGAAUGGGUCCGGGUCCGGCAAAUCACCUGCAUGUACUUUUGGAGCGCGCCUCUGGGCCACUAGCCGACCCUUAUCGAACGGGGCUCGGGCGUCCACUCGGAUCACCCGUUAACAACUCACCGGAAACACCAUGUUCGGCGCCCUCCGAGGGCAACAUGGCGCUUUCCCCCCUUCCUCCUUGCGGAAAGGCGACGAAGAGGCGUAUAACAAAAGUCGAGACGGUCCUUGAUCGUCCUCUCGCUCCGUGCAAAGGCUCGGGGGCUGCUCUCGCACCAGGCUACGGCCAAACGUUGACAGCGUCAAUAAUCCGGCUUAAAAACUCGGCGCCUGACCAUGCACCCGGGCUGUGGCCAGGCCGCAUGAGGGAACAACAAGGCCGGCUGAGGCAUCACGAAAAGCAUUAAGACCUCAGAGGAGUCAAACCACUCCUUCGAGGCCUCGGGGGCUACACCCGGUGGGUGCGCUCGCACGCACCCACCGGAACAAAGUAUAACCGAGAAAGGUCGGUCCCCUCACAAAGAAAUGUGACAAAGCCUCCAAGCGAGUGCAUGCACUCCCUUUGAGGCUCGGGGGCUACUGUUGGGUACCGUAAUUAGGGGUACCCUCAAUGCUCCUUAAACACGGCUGGUAAACACCCUUAGAACAAACCACAAAAUCUGAUGGGCGCGGUUUAAGUCAAGGCUUCGUCUACCCAAGGGACGCGAUCUUGCCCGAGCCCAGCCUCGGGCAAGAACCGUAGUCCCAGACGAGUUCACGCCUCGCCCGAGGGCCUCCUCAGGCAGUGGGCGCACCCUCGGCUCGCCCGAAGCCCAGCUCGGGCAGGCUUUGUUGUGAAGCAACCUUGGCCAAAUCGCCUCACCAACCGACCGUAUCGCAUGCACAUUUAAUGCGGGGAUCGCCUGACACCUUAUCCUGACACGCGCGCCUCAGUCGGCAAGGUCGAAGUGACCGCAGUCACUUCGCCCUUUCACUGACCGAUCUGACAAGAAAACAACGCCGCUCACCCCGCUCCGACUGCUGUGCCAACCACCCGGGUAAGGCUGACAACAGCCGAGUUCAGCCUCAGGCGCAACAGGAAGCUCCGCCUCGCCCGACCUUAGGCCUCGGCCUUGGGAGAACGUCUCCGCCUCGCCCGACCCCAGGACUCGGGCUCAGCCUCGGCCUCGAAAGGAAUCGCGUCCUCGCCUGACCCCGGCCUCGGCCUUAGGAGAAGUUUCUGCCUCGCCCGACCUUGGGCUCGGACCGACCGCGCCACAGGGGAUACAUCAUUACCCUACCCCUAGCCAGCUGAGGCUACAAGGGAACAAGACCGGCGUCCCAUCUGGCUCACCCCGGUAAUAGGUAAUGAUGGUUCCCCACGUGCGUCCAUGACGUCGGUGGUUCUCAGCCCCCUAUGAAAGCAAGGAGACGUCAGCAGGAUCCCAGCCGCACCGCCAGCUGUGCUUCUACAGGGCUCAGGCACUUCUCCGACGGCCACGUUAUCGCAUACAUAGGGCUCAAGCACUUUUCCGACAGCCACGUUGGCAUGUACGCAGGGCUCAGGCACUUCUCCGACGGCCACGUUAUCACGUACACAGGGCUCAAGCACUUCUCCGGCAGCCACGUUGGCAUGUACACAGGGCUCAGGCACUUCUCUGCCAGACACGUUAGCGUAUAGCUACACUCCCCAUUGUACAUCUGGACCCUCUCCUUGCAUCUAUAAAAGGGAGGUCCAGGGCCUUCCUGCGGGGGGUCGCGCGGGGGACGAGCAAACGAACAGGCUCUCUCUCUCUCUCGCGCGCGAUGCUUGUAACCCCUAAUACGAGCACCCCCAGUGCAAGAUAAUACAAGCCGCAUUCUCCCUUGUGUUCCAUCUUGCGCCAACCCAUCUGGGCAGGGGCACGCAGCGAUAAAUUCACUAGUCGGCUCGGUUGAGGGUCCACUGGGUCUGAAACGCCGACACUAUGUUAUUAUUUUGUUUGAAUGAAUAAAUUGAUAGAUAUGUAGGUUUCGAUGAUUCUCGUAGUUUUAGCAAGAGCGGUACAUGUUGAUUUAAUCGCAUCGUCUAGUAUCCGUCAGUUCGUAGGUUAUGCGAGGAGGAUUAAAUUGGUAUUUCGUAUCCGAUGCAUGGUCGAAUUAGUAUUACAGAGAAUAAGUCUUGUGUUUCUAACGUCUAGCUGAUAGGCGCUGUUAGUAUUGCGUAUGACGGAUUUUAUUUGUUUGUAUGGAGUCGAUGACUUGUUGUGAUAGCCGUUAUGUUCUAUGUUUGUUGAUCGGUGAAAGGUCAUAGGUGGAUCGUUGACCGUUUAGAUUAAUAAUCUUGAAUAAAUAUGAGUGGUGCGAAAUAAAAUUAAAAUAGUUCUGUGUGAGCGAUGUGGUAUAAUUAAUAAUGCGAAGGGUAAGUUUAGCAUUUAAUUAAUUAGUGAAUAAGUUCUAUCUAGGCCAAUUGUGUUAAGUGUGUAAUUUAAGUUAAUUAAGAUACCCAGUUUAUAGAGUUAAUAAAAAGUUAGAAACAAAAAUGAUUCCACACACGGAUGUUAAUCAUAAUAUCUUGUGAUGUUAGUUUGAAUUAUAUCUGGUUAGGUUGGAGGAGCAUGAUUGUCGUAAGUAACAAUAUAUCGAUAGUUAGUGUCCGCAAUGCCUCGCCAUUAAGUGGGUUAUUUCUCUUUUGCGUAGCAUCGUAAUAUCUUGUGUUAUUAUUCCUUAUGGUCAUACAUGUACAUUGUGCAUCCCAUGAGGUAUGUUAAUUAAUCACAUGAUGCGAAGGACCAGAGCUGAGUCGACCACAAGAUGAUGUAAAGUGCAAGCUACUCCAAAAGGUGAUGCUAGUGGAUUAACCUGAAGAUGGACGAACUUGAGGAUGGGCAGACAGAGCAAGUAUCGGAACAAAAGCUGAUCGUCAAGUGAUCGACGGCUAACAAACACUAACGUAGUGUUUAUUCCAGGCAAGCCCCGGUGCAUUAUCCCUUUCCUUGUGUUUUAAAAUCUUUAUCACCUUGUAUGAUGCAUUAGGUGAUAGGAGUUGUGUGCUC
rnacentral:lncRNA from 1 species